GCGGCAUUAAUUAGGUCAUGUUAAUUCCCGCUGUCUUUUCAUCAUUAUAGUUAACCUCGGAAAUCGAAUUCGACGCGACGGUUCGACACGACGGCCUUUUCUCCUUCGCCAAGCUUCUCAUUCCUUCUUAUAACCUUUUGUCAUCAGGCUUCAUCUUUUUCGCCCUCUAUCUUUCUUCAUUCUCUUCACCUUCUCUGUUCUCCUCCAUUCGUUUCAAGUAAUGGCGCCGCUCCCGCCUUUACCUACUCAUCCUUUACUAGAUUAUACCCUGCUUAAAUCGUAUCUCGAAAUGGUUCGUACUAGAUUCAUUUUGGGUCCUUCCUUUACUGAAAACCCAUCUGUUGAUGAUUUCCCUUAUUCUAGCGAUGGUCUUCCAUUGGCGGCCAAAUCCAUUCAUCUCCAUUCCUGGUAUCCCUCGGCUUCAACAGGAAGAAGUCUUCGAACUUGGCCAAGUGCUUCAGAUGCUUAUUUAGCUUGGUUAGAUCGAGUGGAAGCUACCUAUGGUGACUUUUGGCGGGAAGUCGGGAUCUAUGAAGCUAUUCGGCUUUCUAGGAAACCUCCCGUAGCCGACAACCUUCUUCUAGCCUCUGCUCUUUGUUUUUGGUCCCCUGUUUCCAAUAUUUUUCUUUUCAAAGGAGGACCUCUUACCCCAACUCUUUUAGAUGUAGCCGCCAUCGUCGGCUUACGGCCUCAUGGAGUUACCCUCUCCGUGGCCUAUAAUCCUGAUGGUGUAUCUGAUUUUGAGACUCACCUAGACCUCAAUGACUUGUCCUAUUCCAAGUUUAUCAGCAAAUUUGCAGGUGAAUCCCCUGCUCCUGUCACUAGGAAAGAACAUAUAACGUUCCUCCUAUAUUGGUUGUGUCAUAAUCUCUUCUGCACUCGUUCGCAGAAGAUCAAUCGUGAUUUCGUCCCAAUCGCCGUUGGUAUGACUAACGACGAUAAAUUAGCUCUAGGCUCUUAUUUUCUUGCCUUUGUUUAUAGGAAAAUUUUUUAUUCUAUCAAACCACUACCCUCUCGAGACGGUGUAACGAUCAGUUCAGGUUGUGGUGUUUUUUGGUUUCUGCAAAUGUUUUUGCAGAUUUACUUCCCUAAUUUUUGCCGAACCACUUUGGAUAAAGAUUCGGCUGCUCAUUUUGAUUCUUACGGACUGGCUCUCGGCUGUCCUCCGCCGUUAACAUCAGGCCACCCUUCUGACUUUAUCUCUUAUUUUAAAAUAUUUUAUGAGUCUCGUCCUCAUUUUUCCAUUCAUUGGUCUCCAUUUGCUGAUCGUGUCACCGGCCCAUCUUGGCUUCUAGCAAGAUAUGAAGCUCUUCAAGGUGAACUUGCUUCUUCUCGCGCCAGCGAGUAUGCAGAUGUUUGGUACUCAUUUUUGGCAACAAGGGAUUUGCACAUUGGCAUGAAAUCGUGCUCGAAAUUGUUGCCUAGUACUGAGGUUUAUUCUCCUCAGUUCGUAGCGCGUCAGUUUGGAUUUACCCAAGCAGUCCCUGCUCCAGCCAAGUUCUUUACGGCCAAUACUGCCGUUGACCGACCCCCUACCAAGAGUAUAGCCGAUGUGAUCGGAUCUCGGCUACGGGGAAUCGCCUUCGGCGGUUCUUCAAAUUAGUAAGCUUCAGGCCAAAUUACACAGGGGUUGUAGGUUUUCAAUAUACCGUCACCUGGGAUCACUUUGCUGAUUGUAUUUUCAAUCGAUCCGCAUUUCAGGCAUUCCGUCAGACUAUUCUCCUACUCGGUACACCUCUUUGCUCAUAGUCAUUUUUUCUUUCAUUUUUUAAAAUCUAUUAAUUUUUUGCUUACUUGUCUCUCAGAUACAGCGGUACCUAUUCCAAUUGAUCCCGCUGCUUCAUCUGUACCAAAAGAAGAACCAUAAGAGAUUUCUGAUAUCCCACCUCCUUCUUCUAUAAUACACUCUGCUUUUCUUUGGAUUUUUCUUUUCUUAUUAUACCCCACACUUAUUUUGCCUUUAUCCUUUUUUCUGUAGUGAAUUCCAGUUUCUCCACCGGCCCCCGCUUCAGAGAAAAGGCCGAUUGAAACUACACAAUCCACCCCUCCGCCGCCUCCGAAGCGCCGCAAGUCGGUUGUCAAGAGACCACAUUCAUAUUCCCAACAAACCGAAGGCGCUUCUUCGGCUAACGUUUUAAAGAAAAGAGACAAAGAUGUACCUUCGGUUACAUUUCCAAAAAGAAGAGCCGAAGAAACACCUUCGGCUGAUAUUCCAAAAGAAAGAACCGAAGUACCUUCUUCGGCUGCUGAACAAAGCUCUGUUUCGGACGAGCCGAUUGAGAUUGAGGUAAACCAAUUUAGUUACCUAUACUCAAUCCUUUUGUUUUUUCAUUUAUUUAUUAUUUUCCCCUAAUAAAAUAGUCCUCUCCUGAAAGAGUCCAUUUUGCUCAUUCUUUGAAGAUGCAGAUGGAUAGGCAACUCCGUCGUGAAGCUCACCUAAAAAAGAGACAAGAAGCAGAGAGGAAGAGGGCAACUCAAGAAAAGAACCAAGAGUUGCCAACAAGAGGUACAGCAUCACCUCUUUCAAUUCCCAUGCCAACAACAGAAAGGGAAAAUGUGAAUGCACCUUUGGAAGAAGGCGUUGAAAAAACACGAACAGAGCCUCACUUGACUCCUGAAGCUUCAUCGUCUAUUCCAGAAGACCCUCUGUCCGCCAGUCUUCUUGCAUUGUUAGUUUCGAGCACUAAUUCGAAUGAGGAGGAUGACUCAUCGACUAUUAUGAUGUCGUCAGACACUCAAAAAUAAUUUGAUGAAUGUCUACGAUUAUAUAGUCAAGGUCUUCCAUAUUUGGCUCAAAAUCCAGAGCAAUUUGAUCGGUUGUGCGCUCUUUUACUUGACUUAGCCGAUCGGUCAGACAUCUCUUCUGCUGGUAAAUAUUUUGUAGAGAUUCUAUCAUCUCAACUUUCAUCUUUUUUUUAUCUCGGAAACAAUCUUUGGGUGUCGAACUUUUAUCCAUUGAUCAACAUUUUCAUCAAGUUGAUCAUUUUAAGAAUACUAUACCCGAAGUAGCAUCUCCUAUUACUGAAGUGAGCCGAGAAGAUCAAACUUUAGCAGACCAAGAGCUGGCUUUGCAGCAGUGAAUUUUAACUCUUAAGGAGGAAUUAACUGCAGCCGAAUCAACUCUAUCCCGUACCUCCGAGCGUCAACUUCAAUUGCAAGAUCAAUUGAAGUCCCAAAAAGCAGAAGGGAUGAAACUUUAGGAACAACUUUCUCAACUCUAUAAAGUGCAUCCCUUGAUGAAACGCAGAAGGAAAGCCGCGGAGAUGACCCAAGCUAAUUUGAUAGCCGAAUGGAAUCAACUCAAGGAUUUAUUAUCUUGAUUCGGCUUGUAAUAUUUUAAUUCUCACUUUGAUUAUAUUCCCACAUGGAUGGGUAAUACUUUUUUAAAUAUUUUCCAUUAAUUGGCUUUUCAUUUUCUAACCCAUCUAUCUUUUUCAAGUAAUAUGUAUUUCCUCUUGUGAUUCUACUGAUUUGAAAUGGUUCUUCCCAAUUUGGAGACCAUUUUUCAUAUACUUGGUCUUUCCGACUGAUUGAAAAAAUAAGCCUAAGAACCAAGUCACCAACUGCAAAUGAUUUAGCUUUAACUUUUUUAUUUUAUGCAUUGCGUACUCGGCUUUGAUAAGCUUGCAAAUGGUUCAAUGCCAUCAACCGAGUUUCAUGUAUUUCUUCCAUUUCUUUCUUCAACAAAUUACUAUAUUUAUCAGCCGAUAGUUCUUUUUGCCUUUCCACUCUUAGAGAAGGGACUGCUAUUUCGGCUGGUAUCACAGCCUCGUGGCCGUAUACUAAUUGAAAUGGUGUCAUCCCCGUUGCUGUUUUUACUGAAGUUUGGCAUGUCCAUAAUAUUUCGGAUAACUUUUCAUUCCAUUUCCUUGGAUGUUUUCCGAUAUGCCGCUUCAUAAGAUUUAUAAUCACCUUAUUUGCUGCCUCAGCCUGUCCAUUGGCUUGAGCAUAGUAGGGUGAUGAGUGAAGUAACUUGAUCUUUCGAGAUUCAAUGAACCGAACGAACUGUCCUCCUGUGAACAUUGUCCCUUGAUCGGUUGUAAUCGUCUCGGGAAUCCCAAAGCGAUGAAUUAUGGAGUCUUCAAUGAAAUCGAUAAUCUCUUUUUGAGUGACCAACCGAGCGGGUUUUACUUCUACCCACUUAGUAAAAUAAUCAAUGGCCACUAUCAAAAACUUGUGACCAGCCGAUGAGUUCGGCUGAACCUCUCUAAUUAAAUCCAUGGCCCAACCUCGAAAAGGCCAAGGUUUAAUUAUCGUAUACAUUUCAGAGGCAGGUACUCUCUGUACUGAUCCAUGAAAUUGACAAUCUUGGCAACCUUUAGCAUAUUCUAUACAAUCUUGAUGUAUAGUCGGCCAAUAAUAUCCUAAGUGCCGAAUCGUCCAUCUCAAUCUUUUUCCUGCUAAAUGGGCUCCACAUAAACCCUCAUGUGUUUCUCCUAUCACCAAUAGAGCUUCUUCAGGCCCUAAACAUUUUAAUAAUAUUUCUUCGGCUGUUCUCUUGUAGAGCUGUCCAUCUAACAGAUAAUAGCCGAGUGCUCUUCUUCGAAUAUUAUAUUCGACCCUUUUGUUGGGGUUUUCUAAGUAUUCAAUUAUAGAUUUUCUCCAAUCCUCUUUCACCUCUAUGGGGGCAAUAAUCGGUUCUCGAACAUGAACCGAAGGUAAUAGUCUUCUUUCUAUUUUUAUUAGACCUCGUUUCGACUCUUUAUAUCCUGAAGCCGAUUGGGCUAAUUCAUUUGCUUGUUCAUUUUUUCCUCUUGUCAAAUGCUCAAAUUCAACUUCUCCAAAGCUGCAAAGCAAUUCUACUGUUUUUCUCAAAUAAUUUUGCAAGUUCUGAUUUUCGCAUCAGUAUUCUCCACGAACUUGUUAGAUCACUAAUUGUAAAUCACCGAUGACCUUGAGUGACUUAACUUUCAAUUCUUGUAAAAUUUCAAGGCCAAUUAUUAAGGCCUCAUAUUCGGCUUGAUUGUUGGAACAGCCGAAAUCUAAUUCAAAAGCAAACUGAUGGAUAUAUCCUUCAGGAAACUGUACAGCUAUUCCAGCUCCUACUGAUUCGGCUGUUCUUGAGACGUCAAAAUAAAGUAUCCAAGGUUGACAGCUGACUAAAUUUUGAUUCGGCUCUUCAAUUUCAAUACAUGGAUGAUCAGCCAGAAAAUCGGCUAUUGCUUGUCCUUUAACAGCUUUUGCCGGAAUAUAAUUGAGGGAGAACUCGGAUAAUGCUAACAUCCAUCUUCCGAUUCGUCCUCUCAAAACGGGCUUAGAUAACAUAUAUUUUACCAGAUCAGUUUUACAUAUUACCGAUACUACGGUUGGUAAAAUAUAAUAUCUUAAUUUCGUACAAGAGUAGUAUAAAGCCAGACAUAAUUUUUCGGUAGCCGAAUAUCGUUUUUCGGUAUCUAAUAAUCGUCGGCUUAAAUAAUAAAUGGCCUGUUCUUCUUUUUCUUCAUUUUCUUGGGCUAAUAAACAUCCCAAAUUUUCCUCUGCAGCUGAAAUGUAUAGUUUCAUCGGUUGUACUUGUUUAGGAGGCAUAAGAACUGGAGGAUUUGUUAAAUAUUCCUUUAUAUUUUCAAAUGCUCCUUGUUGUUCUACAGUCCAAAGAAAUUCUUCUUGAUUUUUAAGCCGCAAUAAUAGAGUGAAAACUCCUAUCCUACCGACUAGAUUUGAUAUAAAUCGUCGCAAAUAAUUGAUCUUUCCUAAUAAGCUUUGCAAUUCUUUUUUGCUUUCUGGUGGCAGCAAUUCUGAUAUAGCUUUCGCUUUGUUUUUAUUGAUUUCAAUCCCCUUCUUAUGCACCAAGAAUUCCAGAAAAUUUCCUGCUGGGACUCCAAAAGCACAUUUCAAAGGAUUCAUCUUUAAAUUAUAUUUUCUCAUUCUUUCAAAGGCGAGCUUUAAAACUACCCAAUAUUCGGCUUGUGAUUUGGAUUUCACAACUAUAUCAUUGAUGUAAACUUCCAACAUCUUGCCGAUCAAAUCAUGAAAAAUAAAAUUCAUUGCUCUUUGAUAAGUAGCUCCAGCAUUUUUUAAACCGAACGGCAUGACUACCCAUUCAAGGGUUCCAAUAGACCUUGGGCAUCUAAAGGACGUUUUAGCUAUAUCUUUUUCGGCAAUGAAAAUUUGAUUAUAACCGGCAUGUCCGUCCAUAAAAGACAGGAUUUCAUUACCGGCAGCCGAAUCUACUAACAUAUUGGCUAUUUACAUUGGGUAUUCAUCUUUAGGUGUAGCCAAAUUUAAGUUCCUAAAAUCAAUGCAAAUUCUAAGUUUGCUGUUCUUCUUACGCGCUGGAACUAUAUUAGACACCUAAUCAAUAUAACGGGCCGCUCUAAUAAAACUGGCCUUUAAAAGAUUUUCAAUUUUAUUUUUAAUUUGGAGUACAAUACUCGGCUCAAACCUACGAGCUGGCUGUUUAUAAGGCCUAUAUCCUUUUUUACUAGGUAGCCUAUGUUCUACAAUUUUUUGGCUUAAACUUGGCAUUUCUUCAUAGCUCCAGGAAAAACAAUCCUUGUACUCCUUCAGCAAUUCUUUCAGUUCCUUCUGUUGUUGAGCCGAAAGUCUGACACUAAUAUAGUUGGCUGUUUGUCUUCAUCGGAUACUAAGUUUACUUCAAUAAGUGGAUCCUGAGUUUCCAACUUUUUAUCGCUGACUUUGAUAGGCAAUUCCUCUAAAUUCAACUUGUUGUUUCGCCUUUUUGUUUCGUCUGGUUUUUCCUCACCGGCUUCUUCUACCGAUUUUACCAUAUUUUUCGGAUCGGCUUUAACAGCCGAUUUCACUGUAUCAUUAUCGGCCGUCCCGGCCUUCUUGUUUCACACCUUGUCAUUGACCUGCUGGGCCGAAUUUAUCACACAGCCGAUCCUAUCGAUCGACUCUUCUUGCCGAAGCUCCUCUAAAGUUUCGGCUCCUGAUUCUUCACACUCCAUUUUAACCAGCUUGGUGGCUCUUCUGCUGCCAUCAUAGCAGCUUCAUCUUUAGAGAAAUCAAUUGCACUCCCUCCUCAGUGACUCUUACGAAAGAGAUUUGAUCUUGGUCAGUGUUGACCCAAUUGAUGUGGCCGAUCUCUUCUAAGUUGAUGUCCACUAUUUGGGGCCGUUCUUCGGCCCAGAUUUCUUCAACUUUAUCUCCUAUCCACUGAAAUAAUUUUUCAUGGAGUGUGGAAGGUACGCACUCGUUCGCGUGAAUCCAAUCGCGCCCAAGUAGUAGGUUAUAUUGACUAUCUGCAUUAAUUACAAAAAAUGCAGUUCAUAAAGUUUUAGAACCUACCGUGAUCUUGGUUGUGAGCACCCCCUCGAGCUUGUUGACCGCUUCUGGUGAAGUCGAUCAUAAUGGUGUCAGUGGGCUUCAACUCGUCUUCACUUUUGCCCAACUUCUUAAAGAACGAGGUGGGCAUGACAUUGACCAUUGCCCCACCAUCUAUCAUGACUCGGCCUACUGGCCGACCUUCGAUCAAGGCCCGAAUAAACAGAGGCCUCACAAAUCUUGUCGGAAUGGCCGAUGGUUUUUCGAAAACCACCACAUCGGCCGGCCUGGUGUCUUCUAAUUGCAAUUGAGCCACUGUGGCUCCUUCUUCUUCGUCUAUCUUCUCUUCAUACUCGAUAUACUCUGCUUUAAAAGAUUGCGGCAGAGUAUACACCAUGUUGACAUCGGCUGAUCCUUCAUCAGCCGAUUUUUCUUGAAUCCUCUGUUUCUUUUCUUCAGAUUCCUUAGCCGUCUCGGCCGAGGAAUCACUCUCCAUCCGUGCUUCUCUCUCCUUAGGAGGCCACCUCUCUCUCUUGAUGAUUGUCUCGAGGGAGGUUAUUUUGUAUUCUAACUCCCUCCUAAUCAUCUUCUCUUCGGGUUCUGCCGUGACCGGCCGUUCUAUCUUUGACUUUAGCCAAGGAACGGGUGAUGAACUACCUGCUUCAUGAUCAUUUCGCAUCAGGUGAAAAGGGUGUGGUGGCUCGUUUGGCCGUCUCCACACGUUCAGCCUUAUCCCUUUUGCCUUUUCGUAAUGUUGCCUCGCCUCGGCUUGCAUCCUCUGCUGCCGACGCUUUUGUGUUUUAGUUAACAUCGGCCCUUGCCAUUUGGCCGAUGGUUUGACUUCAACUUCAUGCCACUUGUCUACCGGCACAUUUGCCGGCACUUUUACCAUUCUCAAAUGAUUUUUCAAAAUCUCCCUUCUUUCCCAAGGUCUCGGCCAGGGCUGUAUGCCGAGCUCGUUGACUAAUCUCCAACCGAGGAACUCUAUGUCUCCCUCGGUCAUCCUCUCGAACUCGGGUUCUGGUCUCGGCCUGGCUUGAUGCUGCCAGUGCGGCCGGUACCCAGGAAAUCUCUGCUUUGAGCCGAAUGUUUUCUCCGGAUAACUCCAUCGGCUGUGAUGUUCUUCUAUCCGGUUGUUAUAGUAGUCAUGCAGAACUUUCUGCAUCAAUAGAUCUUUCUUAUUUUGAACCGAAUCAACUUCCGGUUCGGACUCAUUGGAGGCUUCGUCUGAGCCAUCCUCAGAUUUAUCUUCACCUUUGGGAAUUUCAUCCUACUCUUCCGGAAAGGCCAUCAGUUCAUUCCAUUCGUUGCCUCUCUUUUUGUCGUUGAUGAUGGCUUCGUAAUCUUUUUUCGUCAUUUCGGCCUUGCAUCUUAUGCGAAGUCGAAGGUUUCUUUUGGCAUAUGCAAUGUUUUCAGCGGCCGUUUUGUCCACAAUCUCCUUUCCUCUAGCAUUCACCAUGUUAACCUGCAAAGGAAAUGAACUUUUGUCAAUUUCUAUGUUUUUAUUUUCUUGGUCGGCUAAAAUGAGCCGACCCUCGUCUAUUUCUUCUUGGAUCUGCCUUUUUGAAGUUGCUUUUCCUUUUCCUUUCAUAUUCACCAUGUUGACCUGUGAUGGAAAAGGAUUAUUAUCAAUCUCCAUAUUUUUAUUUUCUUGGUCGGCAAAUAUGAGCCGACCCUCAUUUAUCUCUCUUUGAAUCUGCCUCUUAAAGGCAGUGCAUUCAUUUGUCUUAUGGCUCAAUGAGUGGUGCCAUUUGCAAUAUUGUCUACGUUUUAAUUCUUCCACAGGAGGUAUUGUUUGACCCUCCUGCAAUUGAAUUUGACCAUCUUUUAGCAACCGAUCAAAAAUUAGAUCGGUCUUUGACACAUCAAACGAAUAUGUAUAUGCCGACACCCGUGCUUUCGCCUCGCUUGAUUUAGCGGGCUUCAACAAAGCACAUUUAUAUGGCUGUCGAUUUUUCACAAUUUCGGCUGCGUAUACUUCGGUUUCAUCAGCCGAAUCUUCAACCCCUUUAGACGAAUUCGACGAAUUCGGCUCCUCAUGAGCCGAAAACUCUUCAAGGAAUGAGAUAUUUUUCUCCUUCCCUUUGUUCCAUUCUUUGUUUCGGCUCCAUCUGGGCCGAUCUUCAUUAUUUUCUUUUCGAAAUUGCUCAUAUUGAGCAACCCGAACUCCCAAAUCGAAAAGAUUUGGAAAGUACUUAUCUUCAAGAUGAUCUUUAAUUUUGAAAUGCAAGCCGUUAAAUGCCAUUUUGGCAAACUCCGAUUCUGGCAUUCUUACAAAAUAACAGCUCCUAGCUGUCUUAAACCUAUUCAAAUACUCCUCAACCGAUUCGCUUGUUCUCUGUUUGAACUGGGCUAAAUCGGCAACCGAUAAUUACGGUUCCAUUCUAUAGAAUUAUUCAUGAAAUUUUCCUUCUAAUUUGUCCCAAUAUCGGACUGAAUUAGCCGGCAAACUUGUAUACCAAGUGAAAGCCGUUUUGGUCAACAAAGUAUUAAAUAAUCUUAAUUUUAAAAAUAGAUCUGCCGCGGCUUCACGGCACUGAGUUGUAAAUCGUGCGACAUGUUCGACCGUAUUUUCGGUCUUAUCGCCGGAAAACUUAUCAAACUUCGGCAUUUUCCAAUUUGCUGGGUAUGGAUGCUCUCCAUCUAUAUUUACAAGAUAUGGUGAUCGAAAUACGGGCCGCAUUGCCGGCAUUACGCCUACUCCGAAAGUGUUUCGGAUGGCUUCGUCGAUUUGUGCAUAUAUUUCAUUAUUAAUCCCCUGUAAGGGGACUUGCGCUUGUGCUGGAUUCGGCCCUUGUGGUGGUCCGAAAUUUUGCACCAUAGGAUUUGCUCCUUGAAUAGUUGGAGCCUGCCCCCUAGCCCCUACAUUUUGGGGCUGGUAUGCUACUACUGGUGGAGGAGGUAGUAACCCCCAUGCUAUCUCUGGCUGUUGACCGGCAUUAACAACAGCCGGUCUAUAAGCUGCCUGAUAUGGUGCCCCCUAGUAUUGGGGCUGACCAUUCACCGGUGUUACAGGAUUUUGUAACACUAGUGUCAUUACAGGCGCUUGUAAGCCUGCUAUCGGUUGCUCAUUCCGAGUUAAUAAUUGCCUUAUUCGGGCAAUAUUCUCAGUAGAGGCCGUGAUUGCGGCCAAUACUGCAUCUAAUCGUGCAGUGCUAGUAUGACUAUUUUGGUCUAAAACUUGUAAGACCCUAGUCAUUUGCCCAAGCGCUUGAGCCAAAUUAGGCUCUUGUUGGCCAGAUUGACUACUAGUCUCACCCUCGGCAGGUAAGACUGCUUGGCGUUCUGCAAUAUUUUUCGAAUUACUGGGGCCCUAUUACGUAGAUUCAUGGCAUUAUCAUCAGCCAUUAUCUUAAAACCAAAACAAAUUUACCUUAAUGUGGUCCGACCGGGGGUGCCAAAAUUGUUGGUUGCCGAUGAUUUCCCGGACCCUCGUCCUUGUCGACGAUCCUUCUCGGGGAGUGUGUCGGGAUGGAAACGGCUUAUGGUACUGACCCUCGAAGUUUGCGCCCUUCGAUUGAUCAAGCGAUUUGGCUGAUGAGGGAUCGAAUCAGCCGGAUUCGAAGCCUCUACAGUAAAUUCGGUUCGGCUAGAUGAGCCGAAUGUAAGGACCAAGCAAAAGACUGAAGUCGGCCGAUGAGCCGAAUGGCUAAAGAACAAAGGAAUUGGUCAGCCAGAAAAGCCGAAUAAGAAGUACAGGGUUUGAGUGUGCCGGAUGGCAUGCAGACUCGGUUGAUCUACUUAGAACUACUCCUAGGAAGAACAAUAAAUACGGGAAAGAGAAAAUUACAAGUAGACUACUCCUAGAAAAUGUAGGAAAUUGCGAAGAAAUAAGGGCGGUCUUUUAUUCGCAAGGAAAAGACCAUUUUUUAGGGCGUUAUUGACCUAUUUAUAGAUCGCCCAUUGUGAUAAGUUAUUAUUUGUGCAUGAUCGGCCACUACUCCUGAUUCUCAGGACCAUUUUCAGCCGACCUUCAGCCGAUCGGAACCGCUUACAAUUGCUUGCGGUUACUGUAACCUCCUUAAUUAGCGCGACAGUUUGCUCUUCAAACUAUUCCGGUGCUUCUGGUAUAUGGCAAGAUUGAUGCUUUUGAAGGAAAUACCGGCAUAUAUAUAUAUAUAUAUAUAUAUAUAUAUAUAUAUAUAUAUAUAUAUAUAUAUAGAGAGAGAGAGAGAGAGAGAGAGAGAGAGUUAGGCUGGUAUACUAUCGGUAACACGGAGGCCUCCGUGCUACCAAGUUGUUUUUGAUGAUGCGGUUUCCAAAUUGACGAUCGGCUCUGAUAGACUUGAUCUACACUAUUGAAAGUAUUUGGAAACUAAAUUUCAUAAUUUUUCGACAUCAUUUAUUUAUCAAACGAGUAGUCUAAAAAUGAACGGCUGAAAAUAAAAAUUUCACAAAAAAUAAUGAUAAAAGACUUCAAUUUAAGAUCAGAGUUACUGAUCUUACUCUAAAUAGUAAAAAGAAUUUUCUAUAAAAAUUUCAUCAAAUUUGGAUUGUUUUACACUGUUAAAUUCACAAACGCAUCAAAUCUACCAUUAAAAUUGUCAAUUUCGAGACCUUUUGAUCACUAAGCAAAUGAUGCCGAAAAAUUAUGAAAUUUAAUUUCCAAAUACUUUCAAUAGUGUAGAUCAAGUCUAAUGAAGCCGAUCGUCGAUUUGGAAGCCGCAUCAUUGAAAACAACUUGGUAGCAGGGAGGCCUCCGUGCUACCGAUAGUAUACCAGUCUAGCUCUCUCUCUCUCUCUCUAUAUAUAUAUAUAUCAUUUUGCUUGAGACCUUUUUUUUCUUUCUUUUCUUUUUUUUUCACUUUUCGUCUAUUAUCUUUCACAUACAUCUUUGAUUGCCCUUAUUGAGAGCAACAUUAGUAUAUUAUUGAAAAAAAAAAGUCCAAUUUACUAUGCCCAAAACGGCUGCCCGAAAUUGCCCAAAAUGCCUCCAAAGCUAAAGUGGGCACUCAACACGGAUGUCCGGAUCCUUAUCCUGCACCCAAAACCCACCAACCGCAGCUAGGUGUAAAAAACGAUCGUUAAUUACGAGAAAGGCUACCGAACCCAAUUUGGGAUCACUUUUGGGCACCCAAAACUAGGCCCAAAAUGACUUUAGUAACAAAGACCAAACUGCAUUCCGAAUCUGGACUCCCAGUUCCAACAUCUGGGUACCCAAAACUGGUAGAACUUCAGUUUUAAUUUGCUUAUUUGAGUGUGCCGAGUCCGUUUUCGCGUUCAUUUCACACCAAAACGAUUCUAACUCGUCCCGACACUCUACAGAUGUGUCAACUGCUCACUGAUACUGUAGUCAUUCCGACAGCUAACCUUUUGGGACAUCACACAUAAUGCCUUGUGUUUAUGUGCUUUGUAAUCUUUGAGGGAGCUAUUGUGUCGUGUUUGAUUUUUUUGCACUUAAAAGGCAUUAUUGCUUCUUUGUAUAGUCAUGGCUACAAUUUGUGCAAUUAAUCUCACCCAAAAGUAUGGUGUUAUUAGAAUAUGAAAAGGUCGACUCAUUUAUUUUUUACUUAUUUUGUUGGUGUUAAUAGAAUAUGAAGGGGUCCAACUCUGUCAUCUUUAUAAAAGAAAUUAAGAAGAGAAAUCCUCUCCCCCACCCUCGCGGUGCCUUUUGCUUACAUCACAAUAGGGAGGAGCAAGGGAACAAAUUCCUCUCUCACUCCCAUAAAAAGAAAAAAAAGAUAAAAAAAAAAGUCUCAUUUUUUUUCCUCUCCUCCAUUCAGUUUCGCAUUUCACACCCCAUUAGUGUCCUCCAUACAAUGAUCCACACCUCAUUAGCAUUAUCAACACAAUUCAUAAUCACUGCUAUAUCGAACACUGUGUGCAUUUGUAGUGUACUGAAUUUCUAUACACUUUCCCAAACUUUGGCCAAAUUGGGCAAAGUUUAUGGAUUAAGUGAAAAUUGGUGUUUUCAUGGGGGGUUAAGUUGCAAUUGUGUUGGGGCUUAUAGAUAAACUCUAACCUACUUCCCCACUCAUUUCUUUUCUACUCACACAAGAGAUAUGUCUCUCUUUCUACUCAUUUCUCUUCACUCACAUAAGAGACAAAAGUCACAUAAGAGACAAAACUCAUUUCUCUCCAACUCACAUAAGAGACAAAAGUCACAUAAGAGACAAAACUCAUUUCUCUUCCACUCACACAAGAUCUGUGCGCAUGCCCGAGCCGACCAAAGUGGCGGUGGCGGGGUGUGACAGCAUUCAUCAACUCGCUCUUACUUCCCCACCCAUCUAUGCACACUAUUAUUGUCUAUUGCCGAUACUUACAAUGACGCUUUGAAGAAGAGGAAGGAGGAUCAAUAAUCCUCAAUUUCUUCAACCCUUUCACCCCAUCAAAAAUGCGUUAAUCAAUAGGGUUGAUAGCUCAAAUACCACCUCAUCCCUAUUAUUACUUUGAAUCUCACUUGAUGUUUUCAACGGAAGAAGGGAGGAGAAUCAAUGAUCUUCCGUUUUGUCAAAAACUUCUUAUCCUUUUUAACCAUAUUAAACUAUAAGAUAUGAAAAUUUAACCUAUACUGCCAUUGCCGUAGUUGUCAACACUACCAUCCCGAUUACCGCCAUCAUCGUUGCAGCAAAAAAAAAAAAAAAAAAAAAAAAAAAAAAAAAAGAAUAAAAGAGGGGAACCGCUCCCUGCCAUGCGAUAAAGAGGGAGGUAGGGUGGUGUCUGUAACUCCCUAAGAGUUCCACAUCGGAUGAAAAACUGAUUUUAGUUUGGAAUAUAUGAGACCUCACACCCUAGCAAUAAUAAUUGGAUUUAAGUAUUUUGGAUUGGUGGUUUGGGCUAGCGAGUUGUUAUUGCUAGCAGGUUGGGUCGUUAUAACUGGUAUUAGAACCGAAUUCUAGCUGGAAGUGUGAGAACUGAGUGCUAUGCAGAGCAAAUUGCUACACCACAGGUUGGUAGGAGCCACAUCUUGAACUAGUAGGAGUCACCUAUAGAUCCUUACAACUGUAGAAACCACCUCAAGUAUCUUAUAUCCGUAGGAGCCAACUCUAGAACCUCACAUCGCUUGAUAAUUCUGGUCUACAUGUCUGUGAUCCGGUUUGAACCUGACGAGGACGUUAGGGUCUGAACGGGAGAAGUCUAUAACGCCCCAGUAGUUCAACAUCGGAUGGAAAAGAGGUUAUGGUUGGAAAUAUAUGAGGCCUCGCCCCCUAGUAAAUAUACACCCUAGUAAAAAUAACUGGGCUUAAGCACUUUGGGCUAGUGGUUUAGGCUCAACGAGUUAUUAUUACUAACAUUAUAGUGUCUCUACCUCUCUUCCUUAGAAAAACAAAAAUGUUUUCCCUCCCCUCUCUGCCUAUGACAGAGAAUGGAGAGAAAAGGGUACUCUUUCCUUUCUAAAAAAAUAAAAAAUAAAAAAUAAUAAUAUAAUAUUUUUUUGAUCACAUGAGUCAAGCCGAUCUAGGUGAGCUCUUCAGACACCCGAGCUCUAGUUCCACCAUUUUGAUCAAGCCAACCUAGCUAACUUUUUCAGAUGCCCAAGCUUCGGCGCUUUCAUUUUGACCAAACCAACCUGGCUAACUUUUUCAGAUGCCCAAGCUUCAACGCUUUUAUUUUGACCAAACCAACUUCAAUGAUUAGUUUUUGAGACAUUCAAGUUUUGAUUCUAGAACUUGAUUAAGACACAUUGAUUGAUGUUUUAAACAUCUGUAUCUUAAGGCCCCGUUUGGAUUGGGUACAAGAGGGGGGAUAAGAGGGUUAUCCCCCUUCUUGUACCCAAACACAAGUUUGGGGGGUCGGAACAACUUGUUCCCACCCAACCCGGUACCAAGUGCCCCUUGUACCGGGUUGGGUGGAACAAGUUGUUCCACCCCUGGGGUGGAACAAGGGGAACAAGUUGUUCCACCCUUCCGCGGUAGAGAGAGAAGAGAGAGAGAGAGAGAGAGAGAGAGAGAGAGAGAGAUUUAAUUUAAAUUUAAAUUUCUAAAUUUUAUAAUUUAUAAUUUUAAAAUUUAAAUUUAUAAUUUUAAAUUAUAAAUUUUAAUGUUUAAAUUAUAAAUUUGAUAUUUUUAAUUUUAAAUUUUAAAUUUAAUUUUUUUAGAUUUUAAAUUUUAAAUUUGAUAUUUUAUAUCUUUCAAAUUUAAAUUUGAUAUUAAAUUUAAAAUUUGAUAUUUAAAAUUUAAAAUUUGAAAAUUAAAAAAUUAAUUUUAAUUUCAAAUUUUUAAUUUAAAAUUAUAAGUUUAAAAUUUUAAAUUAAAUUAUAGGGGUAAAAUCAUUAUUUUCUAUCUAUAACUACCAACUAUUACACCUUAUACUUACAUUUUCAUCCAAACACAAUUUUUCUAGUUCUAGCUUAUACCCAUAUUUUCAUUCAAACAAAAAAAUACCCUUAUUCCUACGAAAACCCAUACUUAUACCUAUCCUCGGUAUAACUAGUCUUGCUUAUACCUGAACCAAACGAAGCCUAAGUAAAUAGUUAGAUCCAAUCUCGAGUGAAUUCCUCCAAAGCUCAAGAUCCAAUUCUGACAAAGCAAGGAUCUCGGAUUUAGACAUCUAAGCCUCAAUUUCAAAUAUAAGUGAUUUCUUCGGACACUCAAACCCAAUCAAAUGUUGAUCUUGAUCAAUUAAGAGAGAGAGAGAGGGGGGGAAUCAAAAAACAUUAAAAAAGAGGAGAAGAGGGACAUCAGAUGAUUUUUUUGAAUUUCAAAUAAUGGUCAAAUUUGGACAUUGACCCAACCUGAUUCAACCCUUCAGUCCACAUACAAAAUUAACCCAAUCCACAAACAAGCCCACAAACAAAACUACCCUUCAUAUGGGCCCAAACUAGUCCACAUAUAAACCUUACCUAAUGCAAAAAUAAAACUAACCCCUACAUAAAGCCGAACCCAAUUAAAUCAGUUCAAUAAUCCAGCCCACAAAUAAAAUCAGUUCAUAAGAGACCAACCCAGUUCCGCCCAUGUUCAGGUCACAAAUCCAGUUGACAAAAGUUUCAAUCCAAAUCCAAACCCAAAUCCAACUCUACAAGUUAAUUAAGGUCUGCCCAUUUUAUUCAACUAAGCUCAUAUACAUAUUUCAAUCCAAGCCACAAAGAAAGUCGCACAUAUAAACAAACAAAUCCACUCCAUAAAACACCCAGCUAAAACCCAAAUCUAGCUCGUAAAACCUUUACCAUCCAAACCCAACUCCUCCAUAACCCAAGCUCACGAACCUAACUCGCAACCAAAUAAACUAAAUCCAAACCAACUUCAUCAUUAACCAAAUUCAUGAAUCCAACCAACUCCAAACCCAAAUCAUAUGAACCGAAUCCAAACCAACUCGAAACCCAACCUCCAUGAACUGAACCCGAUUCCACCAUCCAACCUCAACUCCAUUAUAAACCAAUUAGUAAACCUAACCCAACCUUAUCAUGAGCCGAAUUCAUGAAUGCGACCCAAAUCAAAUAGACUAAAACUCCAUCAUGAACUGAAAUGUGUGAACCAAACCCAAAUCUAUCACAAACCAAAAUUCAUGAAUCAAACCAACUCCGAAACCAAACCAACUUCAAACCAAAUAAAUUGUAUCAACUCUGAUGUCAAACUAUAUGAACCAUAUCAGAUACAACCCCAAACCAUAUAAAUCAAACCCAAGCACCAAAUUUGACAAUCAUUUAAGUUUAAUGUGGUGGAACAAAUCCCUUCUGAUGCAGGACCGGUUAAACCUAUCUUACAAGUAAAUACUCCUUAGAUGUGGUAGGCAAAAUAUUUUGCAGAGAUAAAAUUAAACAAGCAAAUUUUUUUUUUUAAAGAAAAGAACGUUCGAAAAGAAAAUUAAUAAAGUAAGAAAAAUUGUUCAGAUAGGAGAUUAUACCAUACGACAUUCAGCGAAUACAUGAUUAAACUAUUGCGAUUAGUCCAGAUCAUCCACAAUCUAUUUGCAACAUCCUCCUAAUCAUGCUUGUAAAUGCUGCGUAACCAAAUUUCGCCCAACAAUAAUAAUCAAGUAUCUUGCAAGAUCAAAGAGACUAAACAAUUUUCUAGAAUUUAGGACGCUAAAAAAACAAGUCUACAAAUUUUUCCGAGAGAAAAAUAGAAAUCAAAACAUGCUAUAGACCAAGCUUUUAUUACCAACAGAUAAUAUACGUAGAGGGAGGUAUAGAAGAAAUACUAGUUUGGGAUAUGAGCCGGGUUCAUCCAAUAUUAUGCUGCUGUUUGUUGUUUCAAAACCUGCACAGGAACUUGAUGACCUGUGCACGAAAUAAAGUCACCUCGGGAGGUGCACCCAAGGAGCUUCGUCUCCAACUUCUUCUUCCUGCUGCUUGCACAAGCUCUCUUCUCUCAACUAUCAACCCUCUAUUUUCUAAAAUCUUAACCAAACCUCACAAAUAGGUAGUCAAAAUUUACAGAAAAUUAAGAGGAACUCAGAUCCAACAAAAUAUUAAAACUCUGGACCUCGCCAGAGCCGGAAAACCCUCCGGGAAAAAACUCUCACCAAAAAUCUUUGCAAGAAAGGUUCAAAAUUUUUUUUUCAAUAAUCAUCGUCCCCUUCAUAAAACCUUGUAGGUUAUUUAUAUCCUAAUUACAUCCAAGAAUAACCAAAAAAAUCUCAACUAGAGAUUUAUCUAAAAGAAAAAUAACCGAAAAAAUCUUAACUAGAGAUUUAUCUAAAAGGAAAAUAUAACAAAUAUUCCUAACAAGAAAAUCUUAAAAAUAACAGAGUAAAUCAAGAAUAAUCUUCAGAUCCAUAUAGCGGGUUCGGGUGCCAACUUGCGUCGCCUUCAUUGAUAGACCUGAAACUCGGGCGAUGAGACGGGUCGGGUUCGGUCUNGGAGCAGCGCCUCAAGGAUCCACGUUUCCAAGCUUCGUCUUCAACCUCUUCUCUCAGCUGCUUGCACAAGCUCUCCUCUCUACUCUCAACCUCUCUAUUUUCUCAAAUCUUACUCAAUUCUCACAAAUAAGUAGUCAAAAUUUGCAGAAAAUUAAGAGGAACUCAGAUCCAACAAAAUAUUAAAACUCUGGACCUCGCCAGAACCGGAAAACCAUCCGGGAAAAACUCUCACCAAAAAUCUUUGCAGGAAAGGUUCAAAAUUUUUAUUCAAUAAUCAUCGUCCCCUUUUCAUAAAACCUUGUAGGUUAUUUAUAUCCUAAUUACAUCCGAGAAUAACGAAAAAAAUCUCAACUAGAGAUUUAUCUAAAAGGAAAAUAACCAAAAAAUUUUAACUACAGAUUUAUCUAAAAGAAAAAUAUAACAAAUAUUCCUAACAAGAAAAUCUUAAAAUAACAGAGUAAAUCAAAAAUAAUUUUCAGAUCCAUAUAGCGGGUUCGGGUGUCAACUUGCUCUGCCUUCGCUGAUAGACCUGAAACUUGGGCCAUGAGACGGGUCGGGUUCGGUCUGCAUCAUCUCUCCCCGGCUUGGAAAAAUCCGACUCUGACGGAUUAUGGCUGAUGUAGUCCUCAUAGAGAUCUGGAGCAAUGUCUCUAAGCUCGUGUUCCGGUAUCCAUGUCACUUCUUCAUCUGGUCGGGAUGCCCACUUUACCAUAAAGCUACGCGAAUCUCCUGAUCGUGUAAUAACAACUCGGUCGUCGAGAACCUGUUCGAUUUCUUCUUUCUUUCUCGGUAUGGGAGGGAUUGGAAGUGGAGGAGGAGGUUGACGUGGAGAUAUAUUUAUGGAGAUGGGAUUCUCAAUGGAAAGAGGCUCAUGGUAGUGGCUCAGAUCCUCGAUAUUGACCAUUGAGUUAAACCCGAUAUUAGCAGGCAAAUCCAAGACAUAAGCAUUUGGAUUCAGUUGUUUCAAGAUUUUGAAUGGACCCAAAUUUCUUGCAUGUAGCUUUUUCACUGUACCGCUGCGAAAUCGUUCUGGUCGAACCCUUACCAUAACCAUAUCUCCUUCUUUAAAAUUUCCUUUACGCCGACGUUCAUUUGCUUUAUUUGCGUAAAUCUCAGUUUUUAAAAUAAUUGCUCGUCUUAUUUUAUCAUGCAAUUCUUUUAUAUGUUGAACAAAGGCUUCAGCAUGUUGGCUUGACCUAUAGUCUACAGGUAACGGAAUUAGGUCAAUGGGUGUCCUAGGGUUGUAACCAGUGACAAUCUCAAACGGACUCAUUCCAGUGGUGCGAUUAACUGAAUUAUUAUAGGCAAAUUCGGCCAUAGGUAAAACGCUAUCCCAGUUCCUAGUGUGAUCACCCACUAGACAACGUAAUAAAUCUCCUAGGCUUCGAUUAACAACCUCAGUUUGGCCAUCUGUUUGUGGGUGAUAUGGUGAAGAAAAUUGUAAUUUAGUGUUCAUUAAUUUCCACAUUGUCUUCCAAAAAUAACUCACAAACCGCACAUCUCUAUCACUCACAAUAGUCUUUGGUAGUCCAUGCAAUUUUAUGACGUGAUCAACAAAAAGCUUCGCUACAUGGGUGGCGUCAGAAGUCUUCCUACAUGGUAUAAAAUGUGCCAUUUUUGAAAACCUAUCAACCACAACUAAAAUCGAAUCGUGACCUCGAAUGGUUUUAGGAAGUCCUAGAACAAAGUCCAUGCUAAGAUCUUGCCAGGGGGCGUGAGGUAUAGGUAAAGGUGUAUAUAAUCCAAUAUUUUUUCGCUUUCCUUUACCGGUCUGACAUAUACCACACUGGGCAACAACACGUGCAACAUCUCGUUUAAGACUUGGCCAAAAGAAACGAUCCUCUACCAAAAUAAUGGUCUUAUCCCUACCAAAAUGCCCUGCUAAACCUCCAGAAUGCAAUUCCCAAAUCAUGAAAUCUCUCAAUGAACCUUGGGGAACACACAAACGUCUACCCUUAAAUAAAUAUCCAUCAUGAAUAACAAAAUCAGGGUUAUCAUGCAAUCCAUCAAGAAUAUUCUUAUAAGUCUCACCAAAAUCUGGACACGUGGGAUAUUCGUCUUUAACUCGAUCAAACCCUAUGACUUGUGUUCCUACAGCAUGCAAAGUCAUGAUAACACGACUAAGAGCAUCGGCAGCUCUGUUUUCGAUACCAGCAACAUGCUUAAGAACAUAGGUAUAUUCCUCAAGAAACGCAACCCACUUGGCAUGCCGUGAAUUUAAUUUCUUUUGCGACUUAAGAUAGCUAAGGGCUUGAUGGUCCGAAAGUAAAACAAACUCCUUAGGUAAUAAAUAAUGUCGCCAAUAUCGUAGGGCUUGCACAAUUGCAUACAAUUCCUUGUCGUACGUGGAGUAUUUCAUCUUUGCCUCAUUCAAUUUUUCGCUAAAAUAAGCAAUUGGAUGACCUUCUUGACUCAAGAUUCCACCUAUUCCUACUCCAGAUGCAUCGCACGAAACCUCAAAGAUCUUCUCAAAAUCAGGUAAUCUCAAAACAGGUGGAUUAGCCAUUCGUUCCUUAAUUUCAUUAAAUGCCUUACUUGCACCCUUGGUCUAUGUGAAUUCUCCCUUUUUCAUGCAAUUUGUAAUUGGAGCCAUAAUGGUACUAAAACCUCUAAUGAAUCUUCGGUAGACUAUGAAAACUUCUAACAUCAUGAAUAUUUUGCGAUUGGGGCCACUGUUGGAUUGCUUUGACCUUAUCGGGAUCAGCUGACACUCCAUUUACAGAUACUACAAAGCCUAAGAAAACAACCUUAGGUUGCAUGAAAACACAUUUCUUGGUAUUGAUGUAAAGCUUUUCUCUCCUAAGAGUGUCUAAAACUUGCCUAAGGUGACUUAGGUGUUCAUCUUCGGUCUUACUAUAAAUCAGAAUAUCGUUGAAAUAGACUACAAGGAAUUUUCCUAUGAAAGGUCGAAGCACUUGAUUCAUGACUCGCAUGAAGGUACUUGGGGCAUUCGUCAAUCCGAAUGGCAUGACCAACCAUUCGUACAAACCUUCCUUCGUUUUAAAGGCAGUUUUCCACUCAUCUCCUUGUCUAAUUCUUAUUUGAUGAUACCCGCUUCUAAGAUCAAUUUUUGUAAAGAUUAUGGAUCCAGCCAUCAUAUCAAGCAUAUAAUCCAAUCGAGGAAUCGAAAAUCUAUACUUAAUAGUGAUCUUGUUGAUGGCUCGACUAUCGAUGCACAUUCGUCAAGUUCCAUCCUUCCUAGGAGUAAGGAGUGCCGGGACUGCACAAGGACUCAUACUCUCCCUAAUGAAACCUUUUCUAACCAAGUCCUCUACUUGACGUUUUAAUUCACCAUGCUCCUUAGGGUUCAUCCUAUAAUGUGGCAGGUUUGGCAAUGAUGAUCCAGGCACCAAAUCUAUCGCAUGUUGAAUAUCUCUCAUGGGUGGCAGCUCAUCAGGUAACUCGUCUGGGGUCAAAUCAGAAUAGUCAGAUAAUAGGUUUCGAAGGUUCAAUGGCAGAUCAGGUUCAAGGGAAGGCUUCUCUACCUCUCGAACAACUAAUGCGUAAACAACGGCAGAACUAGCCUCCAUACAAAAUUGCUUCUUGUUCAAGAAAUAAAGCGGUCUAGUUUGCUCUACCAACCUAUUUUCCUUAGAUAUGGUUGGUCCAUUACGUGCAUUAGAUUGGCUGGUCGAAUACUGAAUCGGCUUAGGUCGGUGAGGUCUUAGCACGAUCUUUUUCUUAUCAUGAGUGAAGGUGUAUGUGUUUUGACGGCCAUAAUGUGUAACAUCAUGAUCAUACCACCAUGGUCGUCCCAAAAGAAUGUGUCCGACAUCCAUCGGGAGGACAUCACACCAUACUUGAUCCCUAUAUGUAGCAAAGUUGAGAGGGACCAAAUAUCGCUCAGUGACAGGUAUCGUAGUCUUAUCUACCCAAGCAACUCUAAUGGGAUUUGGAUGUGGUUCAGGGGUCAACUUCAUUCGGUCAAGGGCUGUUUUGGCUACCACAUUCAUGCAACUGCCGCCAUCAAUAACGACCUUGCAUACCUUAUCCCCGCACUUGGUAUAAGUGUGGAAGAUAGCAGUGCGUCGCUAGUCACCCUCAUCCUCCUUCGUGGUAAGAACACAACGGACGACUUGUAGUGGAAUGGUGUCGUCUAGGUCAUCUACGUAUGCGCUCUCAUCCUCGUCACUUGGAUACUCCUCAGUCUCAUGCACUACUUCCUCUAAAUCAUCUUCAUCAUUUUUCAUCAUCAAGUUACGCUUUUGUGGACACUUAUUCGAGUAAUGGCCCAUUCCUUCACAGUUAAAACACUUCACUCGAGAAAGGUCUUGUUUAGUUCCUUCGACUAAAGAUUUUCCCCUAGAAUCUCGAUUAGGUUGAUUGAAGGUACGAUUGACUUACCAGUGUUUUGGUUUCUAUCGGUCCACUUCUUAGUACUUGACUCCCCGGCUUGGUAACCGAAACGCCUAGUAGGAGGUUUAAGAUAACGUUCAUAUUCGAGUGCGAGUUGGAACGCAUCCUCUACGGUGUUUACUCGAUGGGGUGUAAUCUCUUUCUGGAUUUCCUCACGUAAUCCUCUCCUAAACCGGGCCAACGUCACGUCCUCUUCUUCCUGGACAUUACACCUAACAGAAAUCUGUCAGGCCCGGGUACCAGCGGAAGCAUAUCCGGUACGUAAACAGACCCGUCAUACACCUGCUACGACCUCCUCUGCUGCUGCGGCCUCCUCUGUCUGGGCGGCAUACAUACGCUCGCUCGAACACUGCCGAGGACUCUCAGACUGCCGCUGUCCCGGUGGUCGUCUAUACUGAGAGGGUGCUGUCGGGGUCCCCUGGCUCGGAGCUGAAGGUGCAGGUGCAGAUGCUAAUGAUGGGGCAGGCGAAGAACCUCUCGGGCACUCUGAACGAUAGUGGCCCUCCUGGCCGCAGAUAAAACACUUACCCCCACGUUGUGGACACUGUGGCGGAAAGUGAGGCCCACCACAAAUGACACAACGUGGCUGUCGACGACGCUCAGAUGCUCCAUAGGGUGCUGAAGAAUCUCGACCCCUCGACUGCCCGAUUGGCCUCUCGGAUACUUCGGUGGUCUCCUGAAGGAUUGCUGACCACUGCUCUCAACCGCUGGCCUCUUUCCUUUACUUCGAUCCACAACAUCUCUUUCUUUCAUAAUCUCCGCCCCUUUCUCAACAAUCAAGACCCGGUUCACCACUUCCCGGUAAGUAGAGAGGUUUGAUGCCUGGACGAAUCUAAAAAUUGCAGGCCGCAAACCCAUCUCAAAAAUACGGGCCUUAUCCUCAUCAUCUCGAACCACAAAAGGAACACAGUGCAGUAAUCGGGAGAACUCUCGCUCAUACUCUGCUAUUGUCCUGUCUCCCUGCCUCAGAUUUCUCAGGUCCUUUUCUAUCUGCCUCUUUACACUCUGUGGAAAGUAGGUUGUCAACAGUAAUUCCUUGAAUCUCGUCCAAGUGAUCGCUGACAAAUCCACACGGGGGUCCUCACGAAUAUCUACCCACCACCUGUAAGCCUCGCCGUCCAAAUGGUGCGUCGCGAACCAAACUCUGUAUCGCUCCUCAACAAAAGUAUCAUAGAAUAGUUUCUCCAUGUGCAUCAACCAUUUCUCGACUACCCAAUGAUCGGCUUUUUCCCUGUCAAAAAUACGAGGGUUCAUUCAGUUGCUCCAUCAUUCGCUCUCGCUUCUCAAUCCCCACCAUCUCAGGUAACACUGUCCCUGCCGUAGCCACAUGCACGGGUGGUACAACUGUCUCCUGUCGGGGCUCUACCCUUGGAGCUACUGGGGGUGUGUCUGGUACUGGUGACUGUGCUCUCACUGUCGCAUCCCUGUCUGGUACUGUAGGUAUAGGAUCAUGAAUCUCUCUGUCGGUCGUCUGCCGCAGUAGUAAAUCCUCUAACCUCUUCAUCCUGUCCUCCUGUCGACGCGCGGCAUCCAUCUGCUGUCGCGCUGCCGCAGCCUGCUGAGUAACCAAAUCCGUCAUCAUCGCGAGCUGAUCCUGCAACUCAUGGAUCCCACUAGAUCCAGAAGUAACGGAGGUCCCGACUUCCUCUGCAUCCGCCGCCUCAGCUGCCCCAGCGGCUCUCGAACGAGUCAAAGGCAUCUUGAGCUACAGCACAAAAACAAACAUAGAUUAAUAAAACCUAUACUAUUGAACCUUUACUUCAGAUAUAAGCCAGCUAAUGAAGCGAAAGUAAUGAAAUGUAACAUAUACUAACUUUCGAUGUCAUGUUGUCGGUCGUCAACGUGGCCCUCUGCAAAGUUAGUAAUGAUACAUUUCGAUCAACCCCAACCAUUUGGAGUUUAUAGAUUAUCCAAUCAAAGUACUUUCGCUAACAACCAGCCUAAGGUUUGCUAGGUCUACUAAGACUCAACCCUAGGCUCUGAUACCACUAUAAUCUGUCAUGCACGGGUACCAGCGGAAGCAUAUCCUGUACGUAAACAGACCCGCCAUACACCUGCAGUAUAUAAGGCGUCUACAAGAAAGCAAGUCGAUAGGCGAAAAACAUAGAGACAUCCUAUCCUGAUAUCAGAGCAAAGUAUAAGUCCAAAUACUAUCAACAGAGAAACAAAAAGUAACCAAUCCAAAAAAAUUCUACAUCAUGAAGAAAUAUAAAAACUAUAAUCUCAGGUUCCAAAACUCAUAUACAUCACAAGAUACACAAAAUAUCUGUACAAUGGUAGUCUCUCUAUACACUGGACAUUACCCUUGGCCGUAGUCCGAGUAGCAAGGUGAUCGACUAGCAAGCUCCUAGCAAUAUCUAGCUAGACGCGACUCCCUUGCCACCAUCCCUAGCCUCUCNCUAGCUAGACGCGACUCCCUUGCCACCAUCCCUAGCCUCUCCUAUAGAUGGCUCUGUAAAAACAACCGUAAAAGGGCGUGAGAACUAUUAACAAUAGUUCCCAGUGGGUAAGCCGCCAGCCUCAGCGAAUUACACCACUAGACUUAUGAUGUACUAAGUGAAAGUAAAAGCGAUAGUUGCAUGAUAUAUAUAUAUAUACAAUACUAACAGGUAAUAGACAUGUAAUCAACAUGUAAUCAUGAUUUCUGCAGUAAUGAAUCAACUGAAUAAUAGAAGCAUAGCAACUACUAUAAGCAUGAAUAUAAACAUGGAUGUGUAAGUAAAUACUGUACACUAUAACUGAUGAGCAUUCAUUACUGUCCUUUAUCAUCUAGUACUUUCAUUUCAUUUAUAAGGACCUACUCAAGAUAGUCUAGCUUGCGCUGCGCCUAAUGGCCCCGUGGUAGUAUACACUUCCCACGGCAAUCCACUUCGGCACCCAAUCCCACACGGGCGAGCAACUAUCGCGUAGACCAACUCCGGAGUGCCGGCUUGUAGGGAGCGACCCUCACAAGCGUGUGCGAAUAAGCAGGAUGGCAAGCAAGCAAAGUCCAUAAUCCAAUACAUCUCAAUCAUCAUGUUUUAUCUUGCAAUGUUCUCACUUUCGAUCCUUUGAUCGGGAUUUCAAUAUAACAAGUAUUGAACAUAGCUAGUAUCCACUAGAUUAGUAAUCAUGUAAGAGUAAUGCUAAUUUACAUAUAGCAUUAGAAACUUUCCACUAUCAUAGCACUAUGGUUAUAGUCACAAAGCAUGUCAUUGUUCUCUACUUUAUAAUCAAUAAAGUCAUAAGAUUGUUAUUGUUCUCUACUUUAAGAACAUACUAGAUUGUCCAUGAAUCAUUCAACUAAGUCAAACAUAUACAUGUUUACUUCUAUGCAUGAAUUUCUCUACUUAAGAGAGAUUUCAAUUCACUACACAUACAUAUAGCAACUAUGAUGGUGAUAAUGUUCUGAAUCUAUGUCGAUUCCCAAGUUACGCAAAACGCAUUCAUAUGCUAUUUCUAUAGUAUCAUAUAGAACAUAGGGAAGCUUCACUUGCUCUGGUUAGGUCAAACCCACCUAUCACUAAGCUCCAAUCAAAUCAACGACGUCCCGAAAUUCAGCUCUACUAGACUUCAGCCCUGCUGAAAACAAAGCAUCAAAACAGCGUCGAGGCGAUUACUUAUACAUAAGAAUCCAAUUUCGGCAAAAUUCUCAAUUAAUACAAGGUGGAAGCUUAAUUCCCUGUUUUGGCUCCAUUUAAUACCUCAAGUUAAGCUUCCAAAAUCCCUCAUGUAUCAACCGGAGAUAAUCCGAAGGUCCGUUGCAAGCCUGCUGCGAACAAUUUCCAAAACGGCAUCAAAACGCUCAAAUAUAAGUUAAUAUCGCCGAAAUCCUGCGAAAUCAAUUUUAGAACUGAAGUUUCUAUUUACCCUUGGUUAAAAUAUCCUCCAAACCAGCUUCCAAGAGCACAGGUUUAGCUCAAAGAGGCUCAAAAAUCUGUUGCAAUGAAUUCAUUCCAAACAGCAUCAAUUACUCGAUUAAACGUCAUAUAGUCCUAAAAUUAUGUCAUUAGUUGACUAAUUACCUUUGUUCAGUUUUGACAGCUUAUUCCUGAUCCAAGGUGGUUAAAUCACAACUAAUUAACUCCUCUCAAGCUGCUGAAAUCCUCCACGAACUCAGCUGGGAGCAAUAAAACCGAAACGCAUCAAAAUCGGAUACUAAACCACAAACUAGAGGGUGAUUGAGCUAAAAACCUCUCUAAAGCUUUCUUUCAGCAACUCCCAAUAAUAGACAUGGAAAACACUGCUAAAAACACUUCACUUUACCUUUUAAAAGCUGACCCUAAGUCCACUCAACCAGCAAGCGUCGAACGGGACGCGAAAUCGGCGCAAAACGGUGACUUUUACUCGUAGAGAGAGAAACCCUAGAGAGAGAGAGAGGGAGAAGGGGAAGAAGCUUGAGUAUUCUAUAGUGUCACCUNUGGCCUUCAUCUCAUCCCACAACGUGAUCGGUGCUUGCCUAGACCUAGCCAAUUGUCGCUCAACACUCACCCAAUAUUGUUUGGCUGCCUCUACAAGUUUUAUUUUGGUAAAGCGAACGCGACGGUCAUCGGACAUAUCGUACCAAUCAAAAAAUUGAUCCAUAUUAGUCAGCCAAUCAGUGAAAGUCUUAGGAUCAAAUCUACCAUCAAAAGUUGGGGCUUCAAUUUUGAUCUUUUUGGUAAUGUCGUCACCUAGUGGGAAAUUAUGUCUAGGGAGGUCCGGAUGGUUUUCAUGGCGUUGGGCUCUGAGGGCUGUUCUAUCAGGAGUAGCAGUCGCAAUGCCUACUACGGUUUGACUAGUCUCAAGGAUGGCCACACGAUCCCCUAUGUCAUCUAAUUUAGUGUUCAAAGCAGUCAAUUGUUGUAAAAUUUGAUCCAUUGCAGUGGGUUCCAAAGACAUUGGUACAGGAUGAUAAAUUUUACCACUUCUAAGGAUCAUGCAUUAACCUAGGUCUCUGAUACCAAAUCUGAUGCAGGACGGGUUAAACCUAUCCUACAAGUAAAUACUCCUUAGAUGUGGUAGGGAGUGAGAGUAGAUUAUGCUAAUAUACAUAAUUUGGUAAUUAUGUUAAAGGGUCACUCUAAGUUGUUCCACUGCUUAGAGUGAAAUACAAUAAUUUUGAUUUACUUAAUUUUCAUCUUUCUUGGAUUAUGAAUGUGGUCAUUGUUUGUACAGUGCAAAAAUAUGUAUCGCUUAUACGUACAUUUUUUUUUUUUCUUUUGUAUAUCCGUGAAGAGUUCUCAAUAGAAAUCAUACGUCAUGAGAGAGAGAUUUAAGUAUGGUCUUUUGGGAGUGCUAGCAGGAGAAUAUCUAAAUAGUUGAUUAUUAAUUGUGGCCGAAAUUCGAUUGAAGCGGUAUCUUACAAGCAUGGAUUAGGAGGCUGAUUGGCAAAUAGGAAAUUUUUUAGUGUGGAAUGAUCUGGACUAAUACGCAAGAUAGUUUAAUCAAUGUAUUCAGCUGGAUGUCGCGUAUGGUACAAAUCUCCUAUCGGAAAAUUUUCUUUACUUUAAUUAAUUUUCUUUUCGAUGGACGUUCUUUUCUUUAAAAGAAAAAAAAAAUUUUAAAAAAAAAUUUUACAAAAAAAAAUUUUUGCUUGUUUAAUUUCUAUCUCUGCAAGCAUAGGUUUUGCCUACACAGCANNNNNNNNNNNNNNNNNNNNNNNNNNNNNNNNNNNNNNNNNNNNNNNNNNNNNNNNNNNNNNNNNNNNNNNNNNNNNNNNNNNNNNNNNNNNNNNNNNNNUUCAAUAAUCAUCGUCCCCUUCAUAAAACCUUGUAGGUUAUUUAUAUCCUAAUUACAUCCGAGAAUAACCAAAAAAAUCUCAACUAGAGAUUUAUCUAAAAGAAAAAUAACCGAAAAAAUCUUAACUAGAGAUUUAUCUAAAAGGAAAAUAUAACAAAUAUUCCUAACAAGAAAAUCUUAAAAAUAACAGAGUAAAUCAAGAAUAAUCUUCAGAUCCAUAUAGCGGGUUCGGGUGCCAACUUGCGUCGCCUUCAUUGAUAGACCUGAAACUCGGGCGAUGAGACAGGUCGGGUUCGGUCUGCAUCACCUUCACCUUAGAAUACAAAACUAAGACAAAAUAAAAAAAAAAAGCCGAUUAGGUUUUGAAUCAUAACAAAUUCAACUCGAUUCUAACAAAUAUAUUGAAAAUUCAUUCAAAUAUACGGUUUAGUCAACUUUUCACUCUAGCACAUAUAACUAUAGAAAAAAAAAUAAAUCAAUCCUGAUUCCUGAGUAAUGCUAACAAAUAUAGUGGGUAUUUGGCCUAGCUUCUGAAAAGUGAUUUUGGCCCCAAAAGUGAUUUUCAGCUUAAUAAAGCGUUUGACAACCUCGUUUUCAAAAUCCAAUUCUGAAUUUUAGAAUCAGUUUUCUGAUUUUCGAGGUCUAAAAUCAGAAGCAACUAAAACCUGCUUCUAAAAAUCUGAUUAUGAUUUUGAAUUCAAACUUUAAAUUUUUAUUUUGAUUUUAGAUUCAAAAUUUAAAUUUAAAUUCAAAUUUUAAUUUUAAUUUUUAAAUUUAUUUAAAUUUCUAAAUUUCAAAUUUAACUUUUAAAUUUAAAUUUUCAAAAUUUUAAAUUUUAAGUUUAGAUAUUAAAUUUCAAAUUUAAAUUUCAAAUCUCCAAUUUUAAAUUUUAAAAUUCAAAUUUAAUAGAAAAUUUAAAUUUAAAAUUUUAGAAUUUAAAAUUUAAAAUUUAAAAUUUUUUUAAAAAUUUUAAGUUUAAAUUUUAAAUUUAAAAAUUUCUAAUUUUUAAAAUUCAAAUUUUAAAUUUUUAAGUUUUAGUUUUAAAUUUUAAUUUUAAACUUUAAAUUGUAAGUUUUAAAAAUUAAAUAUUCCAAUUUUAAAUUUCAAAUUUCCAAAUGUGAAAUUUUAAAUUUUAAAUUUCAAAUUUAGAUUUUAUAUUUGAAAUUAAAAUAAAUAUUUAGAUUUAAAAAUUUAAAUUUUAAAUUUUAAAUUUCACAUUUUCAAUUUUUAAAUUUAUACGUUAGAUUAAAAUAUCAAAAUUUAAAUUUUUGUGCAAUUUAAAAUUUAAAAUUUUAAUUCAAAUUUAAAAUUUUAAUUUAAAUUCAAAUUUAAAAUUUUCAAAUAAAAUUUAGUAAAAAAAAUUAUUAUAUACAAAUCAAAUCAGGUCCGACUAACCAUAAUAUAUAUGCUUGGGAUUUGUUCACAUUUCACUUUAGAAUAUAGGGUUAAUUGCACCAUUGGUUCCCAACCUUUACACCAUUUUUCAAUUUGGUCCCAACCUUUUUGUUUUGCAAUCAAGUCUCUAAUCUCUUGAUUUCAUUACAAUUAAGUCCCAACCGUUAGAUAGGUAUCAAAAUUGACGAAAAAUGCCACGUCAGCACUAUGUUAGCUCUACGGAUGUAAUAUACCGAAAUUCUAUAGUUUUGAAGUUUCAGUGGAUGUUAGAAGCUGUUGGAGCAGUUCCGGUGAAGUUCGGGAACGUUCGAGUGCUUUCGGUACGCGACGGGUGCGGAAACGAAACUCGAAAAGCUAUGAUUGGAUCUUGGCCGAAAUCCAGCAAAGCGUGGAUGAAAAGAUGGUUUAAACGUGCUCGAAAACGUGUUUUGGGGGUCUCAGUACGAUUUGAGAUGAAUCGGAGGCCCCGGAAGUGAAAACGAGUGAAAACGGACCAAAGGCUGAAAUUGCUGAAAAUUUGGCUAAGUCCUGAAAUUCUGGACUGGAGGGACCUACGGGGUCCGGACCCUUUGGCUAAGGUCUGGACCCCGAGCCCAAAAAUUGCCGAGUUUGAGCAGGGGCAGUUUGGUGAAUUGUGGGGGGUUGCUUUCGAAAAGGGGCUACACCCCUUUCUUCUUCCUCCCUCAGCCCACACACACACUACACACACAAAUGGAGGAGAGAGAAGCUCCUCUCUCUCUCUCUAUCUUUCCCACUUUCCCUCUCUAGAUCUCUUUUCCAAAAUUGGAGACUUGGCAGAGAGCAUGCUUGGGAACGCGUUGGGAGCGACGGAUCGAGUCCUCGCGCACCCGGUUGAGCUUCGUGCUUUCGACUCAGCCUUCGCAGUUUGGUAAGAGUUGGGAUUUGUGUUAAAUCCUUUAUGCAUGAGGUUCUAGUGAUCUCUAGAAUGUUUUUAGCAUGUUACUCCAUUUAAUUUUUGGUUAAUUGGAGUAUAUGAGUAAGCUAGGGUUUGAAUAGGGGUUUUGGGGAUUUGAGGGUUUUGAUCUAAUACAACCCUAUGAUUCUCUAAUUGAAGGUUAGAGAUGAGCCCCUGACAAUCCUAGGUUGCAGAUUGGCCGGCGUUCGGUGAUCGAUUUCGAUUUCGAGCCGAACUGGGUAGCGUGUGCCGCGGGAGGCCGAUUGCAAGUGUCGACGAGCAAUCGGAUAGCGUUAUAAGAUAGGUUGUGCUCCACCGAAGUAUUUAGCUCACUUCCAUGUCGAAGUGAAGUGUUAUUCAUCAUUGAUGCAUGUAAUGGUAGUUAAUUGCCAAGUAAAUGAAUGCAUGAGGUAGAUGCUAUGUGAAUGCAUGAGAUGCUAAGUAUCGACUACCAUUGGAUAAUAAAGUAUAUGUAUGUUGACAUAUUGUAGCAUGUGUUAGAUACAUAUGAAUGUGAAUGCAUAAUAGAGAUGCUAAUUGUGAAUGAGAAUGCAUAAUAGAUAUGCUAAUUGUGAAUGAGAAUAAAUGAUAAAGAUGCUAAUUAUGAUAUAUUGACUACCAUUUUGAUAGGAACAUAGGCAUGUGCAAGAGAAGAGUAGAGAAUACAUGCAUGUUGAUGUCUUGUGAGCAUACGCUAGAUUCAUAUGAAAGUUGAACUUGGGUCGAUAAACUCUAAGUAUAGUAAGGAACUCGACAAGUGUGGCAUGUAAAGAAUCCUAGGCAUGAACAACUAGGAUCAAGAGUAGCAUAAUUGGACAUGAAGCCUAGAGUUAAGUAAACCUAAGUGAGUGGCAUUGAACCUAGUGUCAUUGAACAUAGGUUGAGAAUUGAACCUAGAGUCGAGUAAACCUAGGUUAUGAGAUGAGUAGCAUUGAACCUAGAGUAAAAUAAACCUAGGUAAGUGGCAUUGAACCUAGUAUCAUUGAAUAUAGGUUGAGAAUUGAACCUAGAGUCGAGUAAACCUAGGUUAUGAGAUGAGUGGCAUUGAACCUAGAGUUAAAUAAACCUCGGUGAGUGGCAUUCAACCUAGUGUCAUUGAACAUUGGUUGAAUAUGGAACCUAGAGUCGAGUGAGUCUAGGUUGGAAAGAACAUUGGACCUAGUGUUGUUGAACCUAGGUUAUGAGGAAUAGUAGUAGAGAAACCACUAGGAUAAGAAUGGUUUGAACCUAGAAAGGUUGACAGUAUAUAGGGUAUAUGAGUAACCCCAGAGAUAAGAAAGUGGAUUCCGGAAUCCCAAGACGUGUGGCAUUAGUGAACAUGGUAUGCUCAUGGUUGUGGAUUGGAUCAUACUCACCUAUAAGUCUAUACUUGAGGGCGGUCGCUCCCCCUUGAGCGAUGGCGCUGGAGUGAUCAUCAUUGGGUUGGAGUUUCCCCAGAGGUUGAGCCUGUCGGGUGUAGCGAGUAUCUCCCCGAUUGAUGAGCUCCGGAGUAGUCAUCACUGGGUUUGAGUUUUCCCAGAGGACGUCCCGUUGGGUGUAGCGAGUAUCUCCCCGAUAGCAGGGAUUUGAGUUGGUGAGUUUUGUGGCGAAACCUACAGGUUAGCCGAGAGGAUUGGGUAUUGAUAGUGGCAAUUGCCAUGCACCAUGAGUAGUAUAUAUGUUGGUUUUACUCGUCCGGAUGUGCAGGUAUUUUCCUCGCCCGUUGGUAGACCUAUAGUCGAGUGAAUGCAAGGCUGAGGUGCAUGUGAGAGUUCCUUCACCUCGAGUCCGACAGAGCGCGGCAUUUCCGUAGUUGAUUGACUCAAGACCGAGUCGAGUGGCAUAAUUGGCUAAGGUAAGAGUAACCUUAGGAAAGAAUGGCAAAUGAGCAUAGUGUGGCUAAUAAAAAAGAAUAAAGAAGGACUAAGAAUAAAGAAUGUCAAAGAAUAAAGAAUAGCAAAUAAUAGAGAAUGAUAAAUGAUAAAGAACGACAAUGGCAAAUGAUAGAGAGUAGAAUCAAUAGAUCUACUUACAUUGUUGCAUGAUUUGUAUAGUUGUAUUUGUGAGGCAUACACAUGUAUUUAAUACUUGCAUAAAUAUCUGUGGAUAUCUGUUGGACUAACAUGUUUGCAGUGCCUCCUUUGGACCUGGUGGGUGAAGCUUUUUUCCUUAGGUAGCCGUACCUACUAGGAACUAUAUUUAUAUAGUUCUCAUCCCACGUGGUUUUGGGGGUUUUCAGGUUCACACGCGAGCGGCGCAGCGGCGCGAGGAAAGGGCAUAGCUCCGCAGAUAGCGCCCUACCAUUGAGACCAGAGAUAGCAGUACCCUGAGUCGGCUACUUAGGGAUGUGAAAAAGGAAAAUAACCAAGUUGUAAUAAUUAUGUUAAAUCUGAUUGUAUUUGGAAGCUAAAAAGAAUAGAAAAUAUAAUAUGUAAAAUGUAUGUGAGUUGAAUGCUUGUAAUAACAUAGUGUUUAUGUUUUUGAUACCUUUCUUAUGCAACCUAUGUUUGGAUGCUGUUCCUGGUUGGAACCUCGGGAAUUGUAUGGAUUGUGACGCCUUGGACGUACAGGGAAAACUCUGUCUGCGGUACAGGAAAAACUCUGUCCGCGGUACAGGAAAAAUCCUGUCCGUUCUGGGGUCUGUUGGCGUGCCCGAAUCCGACCAAAUAGGCGGGGCUCGGGGCGUGACAGAUUAUAUGGUAUCAGAGCAUAAAAAGAAAAGUAGAAAUGGUUUAGUUGGAUCUAGCAGACCCUAGGAUAGUAGACUAUAGAGACUAAGGCUCGUGAGAGACGAGAACUUGCAACUUGUGGUGAAAGAUGAGUUGAUUGGGUCAAGUGUUGUAAACCUCUAAAACGGAUGUUAGAACUAGAUUCAAGGUGUGGUUUAUUCUCAGCCGAGUAUGUUCAUGUUGGACGCGUACAACAUGAAACCGAGUGAUGAGAAUAGGCUCCUUUGUAUUACUUUCGCCUGAUUUAAGCCUGAGUCUGAGUUAAUCGUUGAGUACUUGACCUAGAGGGUCGAGAAUUAAUCGAGUUGUUGUGUUCCAGGAAACAAUGGCAUCGCAUAGGCGAUCUUCAGCUAGAUCGACGCGGGACGGGACAAGUGGUGUCCCUGAGCAAUCCGGAGCGAGUGGAGACUCGGAGCUCUGUGAGCAGUUGGGAGUGCUUGUGGGCAUAGUGCAGCAUCAGCAGGAGGCUGCUAUGCGCCAGGAAGAGCUGGUUAAGAGACUCCAAGAGACCGUGAAUCAACUGGUGGCUGCACCAGUUGCGGCUCGUCAAGUACGAUCGGGAGUUGCGGCGGAGACCUUUCCGUCAGGGACGGGUUGUUUGGGUGGUCAGUCGAGUUCUAAGCAACACCCGAAGUCACCCUCUACUAGAUCCUCCCCUAGAUGUGUGAUUUGUGGUGGUUCCCACCGGGUGCGGCGAUGUGCGCUGCGUGAAGGGAGAUGUAUUCGCUGUGGGAAGCCGAGCCAUAUGCGGGAUGAGUGCCCGUUGGGUGAUAGCCGGGUGAAUGGUUCACCAAUAUGCCACAUGGCUGCACAUUAUUGGCCCUAACACCGUCGAAACUAAAAAUCAACGCCGUUCAUUAGUUCUCAUCUAAAAUAAUUAAACUAAGGUAGAAUAUAUAACAAAAUCAUUUGAGUAAUUAAGAUGGCCUUUUCUUCUAUAUUAAAUGAGUAGAAAAAUAAAUGAAUCUAAUUAUCUACGGCAAAUUAAUGUUUUACUAUUUUCACUUGCAUAUAUUAAUUUUAGAGUGAAUUGCAUACGGCUCCCUAUAAAUAUAGUGAAUUGCAAAUAUAUCCAUACAAAAUUCAACUUUCUUAUGGUAUCCCUAUAAAAGUCCAAAUAUUUUCAAAUAUAGCCCUACCAUUAGAAUCUGUUAGAAAAUUUUAGUUAACCAUAGGUAAAAUACUUAACUCUGGUCGGACAAUGAGGUAAAUUGACAUUUUUACCCCCUCUUAUAUUACCUUCUUCUCUCAAUCAAAAUCCUAGCAAUGGAAACUCAUCUUCUUCUUCCUUUUCCUCUUCCUCUCUCUCCUUCAUACUAGUUUCGAACUCAUAAUUAGAAUUUCUCCGUCCCCAUUCAUCCACGACGCGUGUUGAUUCGCCAUGUCGAACGCGUGUUGCUUUCCCAUUCAAUUUUCUCUAUGAUUUUUUCUUAUUUUACUCAAAAGAAAAAGUUUAGAAGAAAAGAAGUGAGAGAAGAGGCUGCAAUAAUGGUGGAUUGGGUUGAAUUUUAAAGAGGAAGAAGAUAAGGAAGAAGUUGACCAUUGAAAAUUUUUUGGAAGGACAUUUCUGCACGAUUAUAUGGCAAACUUGACAUUUCACUUAUCUGUUAUUAAAAAAUAAUUAGUUCUCCAACGGUAAUAACUAGAGAGACAAAUGUAAAUUUUAUUGGACUUUUGCAGGGACAAGAGUUAAAAGUUGAACUUUAUAAGAAUAUACACUACAACAAAAAUGGUGUAUAGCAAUACUUAUAAAUGUCGGUACAUGUCAAAAACAGGUGCUGCUGGUUAAAUUACCGACACUUUUUAAAAGUGAUGCUAUAUGUGGGGUCGCUAUAUGUGGAGCCGUCUCGAUGUUUGGCACCCACUCCUCCAGCGACCUGUGGCGAAAGGACAUGUGGCGAUCAUAGCCCUCUACGGUCUCUACGAGAUCCUUGCGGCCGAACUCCAACCGCCGGAACCUUACCUCGUCGGCUGCGGCCGCGGAGGAGAAGAAUGGGUGAUGGUGAUCAAUUUUUCUUUUUUUUUCCUUUUCUAUUUUAAUCGGGCCGAGUGGGCAGGGUGGGAUUGGUUGAGUAGAGAAACUUUUUGUUUUUGGUUGGAUUGAACUUUAUAUUUAGGCCUUAGUAUAUUUUUAAAAAAAAUUUUUGGCAUAAAUGGGACACUUACACAAAAGUGUUAAAAAAAUAUGUCUCUAUAAUCUAAUUAUGUUGUAAUGAUAUUUGCUAUUCGAUAUGUUUACAGGAAGCUGUAUGCAAUUAACCCUUAAUUUUACUAUGGUACAGUUUGUUGUAUAUAGGUGUAUAAGAUUUCUUGAAAAUUUCUUUUGGGGCGCGUUUGGUUCACAUUAUGAAAGAUUAUUAGGAGUAAAAAGAUAUCUGAGAAUCUUAUUCUUAUUCAUUCUAUUACUAAGAAUGUAGUAUUUCAGUGUUUGGUUCGUACGGUCAUAUUAUUUGGUCAUGUUAUUUAAGAUUACGAAAAAUAUACAAUUAAUUAAUUAAUUAAUUAAAUUAAUUUUAAAUAAUAUUAUAAAAAUUUUAAUAUCUUUUUAGAAAAAAGAGAGAGAGAAUAUAUGUUAGAAAGAGAGAGCAUAAUUAAAGAAAUAGAAAGAGAAAUAGAGUCGAGGUUAGAGAGAAUGAGAGGGUUGAGAUUUUAGAAAAAAAUGGGGAGAAAUAGCUUAAUUCAGAGAGAGAAAAAAAGUUGAAGUUUAGAAAGAAAAAGAUAAGUUUAGAUAGAGAUAUGAGGUUAGAGUGUAAAGAAAAAUAAUACCAACUAGCCGGCGGGUGGAAAGAAAAGAAAAGAUUAGACAUAUUAUAAUUACUCCAAUCCAUUAAUAUAAGAAUACCCACCAUUCCUCAAGGCUGCGUUUGGUUCAGGUAUAAGUAAGAAUUGCUUGUUCCAGAGAUAGGUACAAGUUCAGGUAUAAGCAGUAACUAGACCAAUUUUGCGUUUGGAUGAAAAUUGAGUUGUUCCUUAGAAUAAGGUAAAUAGUGUUUGGAUGGUUAAAUUGGAACAAGAGGAAUAAAAGUUAUAAUUUGAAAUUAAAAUUAUAUUAUCUAAUUAAUUAACAUCAAAAUAUUACUUAAAAAUAAAUAAUAAAUAAAUUAUUAAUCAAUAAAUAUAAAUAAUAAUAAUUAUUAAUUAUUAAUUAUUAAUUAUUAAUUAUUAUUUAUUAUUUAUAAGUAAUAAAUUAAUUAAUUAUUAAUAAAUUAUUAAUAAUUAUUAAUUAAUUAAUUAAUUAUUAAUAAUUAUUAAUAAUUAUUUAUAAGUAAUAAAUUAAUUAAUAAUAAUUAUCUAAUUAUUAAUAAUUAAUUAUAAAUCAAUAUUAAUAAAUAAUAAUAAUUAUUUAAUUAUUAAUUAUUAAUAAUAAAUUACUAAUAAUAUCGAUUAUCUAAUUAAUAAGAAUAAUUAUUUUAUUUUAUUAUUAAUUAAUAAUUAAAUAAUAAUAUUAAUAAUUAAUUAUAAGUAAUAAAUUAAUUAAUAAUAAUUAUCUAAUUAAUAAUAAUUAAUUAUAAAUAAUAAAUUAAUAAUAAUAUAGAUUAUCUAUUUCUUAAGAAUAAUAAUUAUUAAUAAUUAUUAUUUUAAUUAAUAAUUAUUAAUAAAUAAUAAUUAUUAAAUUAAUAAUUAUUAUUAUCUAAUUAUAAAUAAUUAAUUAUGAUUAAUUAUUUGUUUAUUUAUUUUAUUAUUUAAGUAAGAGAUAAUAAUUCAAAUAUAUUAAUUAGAUUAAUUAAUAAUUUAAUAUCAUUAAAAUUUAAAUUUAGAUUUAAUUUAUCUUGUUCUCAUUCGGGAACAAGCUUGUUCCAGGAAAAAGAUGGAACAACAGUUCCAGCGAGUUUCAAUCUUAUACCAGCUAGUUCCAGAAACCCGGGAACUACUGUUCUCGGGUACGAAACGCUGCGUUUGGGAACAAAGGAAGGAACAAGGGCUUAUUCUCCCCCUUGUUCCUGAACCAAACGCUAUCUUAGGGCGCAAUUGAGUAGUCUAAUGUUGUUCCGAUUUUUGUUCUUGUGAACGUUGACAUCGAUUCGUUCCAACUUUACACUCUCGGGGCAUAAUAGAACAAUAUAAUUUGGUUUUCCACUUUGUUCGGUUAAAUGAGAAAAUGUACUCGUUGCAAAGUUAUACUGUUAGGGCGCAAAUGAGUAGUCUAAUGUUGUUNCUAAUUAUAAAUAAUUAAUUAUAAUUAAUUAUUUGUUUAUUUAUUUUAUUAUUUAAGCAAUAGAUAAUAAUUCAAAUAUAUUAAUUAGAUUAAUUAAUAAUUUACUAUCAUUAAAAUUUAAAUUUAGAUUUAAUUAACUUUGUUCUCAUUCGGAAACAAGCUUGUUCCAGAAAAAAGAUGGAACAACAGUUCCAGCCAGUUCCAGUCUUAUGCCAGCUAGCUCCAGAAACCCGGAAACUACUGUUCUCGGGUACUAAACGCUGCGUUUGGGAACAAAGGAGGGAACAAGGGCUUAUUCUCCCCUUUGUUCCCGAACCAAACGCUACCCAAAGGAAUAAGAUUAGUACUUUGGGAUGCAUCUCAUUCCCAAGUAAAUUUAGUAUUACCAACUAGAUUAUUUAGUGCGUUUAGCCAAACACCGUCAUAUUUUUUUUAUUACUAUUGGAUUAAUAGGAAUGUUAAAAAAAUAGCGCGAACCAAACGCACCCUUAAGGUAUUCAUUAGUGUAAAUGGAUUUUCUUACUGCAAACUCUAUUUGUUUCGCAAGAACUUAGUGAUUGUAUUUUACUAAAGGCUUAACAAAAUUCGAAUCUUGUAUUACAUUUUUCAUUUACAGUUUUUAUUUAUUUGUGUCGAUGGAUAUCUGCAAGUGCACACGCACAUAUACUUAUUUAUUUGUUUGUGUACAUAAAUGUAUAUAUAUUUUCAUGUAUCGACAAGUUUUUUUUUUUUCGUGUACGUAUUGACAUGUAUUUAUCUGCUUAAUUAUAGAUUAUUUAAGAGAUUCCCUUGGCCAAAGCUAGGACUCAUCAACAUACGCAGUUAAUAACUUACAUUUUCCAUGAUUGUUGAUCUUCCCUACUCGGCGUCGUUUUCCAACAAUUAUGUAACAACAACAAAGACCCUGAAUACAAGGGCUUAAUAACAUCAUAUAUAAACUAUUAUUAUUAUUGUUAUUAUUAUUUUAUAUAACAUAUGGUGCCAGUCAAAUAUGACCUAUGACCAAAACAUUCAAUCUCAAAGUUAAUUUGCUAAUGAUUAAGCUCCAAAUUACGCCUCAUCAUUAUCCAAUCUACAGAGGGGGGAAAAAAAAGUGCCCCAACGCGUGUGAUAGUGACCGAGUACUCGGCAAGAACGAUCUUUGCAGUUUUAUUUGCGGAUGGAAAAAAAAAUUGCAAGGAGACCCCUAAACUAUACGAAUUUUUGGAACGACCCUAUCAACUUUAUUUUUUUUAGUCGAUCGACAUGCAUCACUUCUACUUUUUAUUUCUCUUAUUUGAAUGAUUUUAAUCGACAAAGUAGAAAAUUAGCAAAUUCAACAGCAGUUUUAUUAAAUUAUAUAUAAAUAGUAACUUCUAAUAGCUAACAGAAUCAUUUAAUUGAAUGAAAUUGUCAAUUGGACUAAGUAAACUCAAAUAAAAAAAAUAAAAGGUAAAGAAAAUGCUAAUUGAAAAGUAAGGUUUAAGGGUCUAUUUCCAAAUGGCAUAAUACUUGAGGGCUUCGAUCAGUAAAUUGUUAAUUUCCUUUCAAGUACCUUACCAAAAUAAGUUUAACUCAAGCAGACUACUACCAAACAAAUACGGUUUAGAAACUCAUGAAAAGAAAUUAAACUUUAGUGCUGAUUUAUGUUGAUAGAUACAAAAUCAUGAUCAUUUCUAAUAAAGUAUAAAACUUUGGCAUGAUUAAGCAUUAACAAAUUAAUUAAGUACUACUAUAAUUUCUCUUCCAAGUCAUUCCCUCUUAACACAUUAGAUGAGCGACAAAAUGGAAGUUUUCAAAUAACAUAAUAAUAAAAUAAAAAUGCGCUUAAACCAUAAUAAAGGAAUGGUUGAAGUUCAAUUACUCAUUAAAUUUUGGUGCUAACAUUUUAACAGGUAUAAACUCUUCUUCUUGAAAAGAGAAAACAAAAAGAGAAAACUUUGGCAAUGAAACAGUACACUAGCUAGCUACUAUUUUGAUUUCUCUUCCAAGUCAUGACCUCUAAUUACCACAUUAUGUAAAGCAAAGUGUGGGGUGCAUCCUUCAACCCCCACUAGGUUGACAAAAGCAGAUUAUAAUUAAAGGACUUAGUUUUUGAUCGUUAAAUUUGGUUAUUGAUUUGAUCGAUAUCUUCAUUACUUGCAUUUGGAAAGAGGAGGAGGGGGCUCGGCAGCGGUGGCAGCUGCGGCCGCCGACCGUUGCCGAUUGAGAAGCUCCCUCGCCAGCGCCUGGAGAUCGCCGCCCCCACCGCCCGAACCGCCCGGGCCCACAGGCCGCUGCUGCGGCUGCGGCUGAAGAGCAGCCCACGGGCCGCCUCCGAGCGGCUGCUGCUGCGAAGGCGUCAUCAAUGGGUCAAAGAGCGCAGAGAGAUCGACAGAGGUGGGGAGGUUCGACGACGACGAUGGAAGGUCAGAUAUCGAGAAGGGGGGCAGCGGCACGGAAAACUGAGGCAGCGGCGGCGGCAGCGGGGGCGGCGACGGCAGCUCCAGUGUGGCCAGGUGGGCUUGCAGGUAGGAUAGUUCAGCUUGAAGACUCACCACCUGAUCAUCAUUAUGUAUUGAGUAAAUGUGCACAAAGCAUCAUCAAUUGAUAUCUAAUUAUGAACUACUUAGAACGACACACAAUAUGAUCAAGAUUGUAUAUGCAAGCACUAUAUACUCUCUCUCCCUCUCUUUCUCUCUCUCUCUCUCUCUGUGUAGAAUGGUGUUGGCUAAUAGGGAAUAAAACUAACAGAAGGGUUUGUUUCGUUUCGGGUAUUGCUUGACUUCAUAGGUUAGCUUUUCCCUUUUUAGAGAGAGAGAAAGAGAGAGAUCUAGAGAGAGACUCCAUCUUUUUGGAGAACUACCGAAAGAAAGCCUGCACAAUUUAAAUUGAUCAGUUUCUGAUUUUAAUCAAUCUCCAGAAGAUUGAAAACAUCAAAAACGUACCCGCCCAUAGUAUUCCACGAAUCAUAAUUACGAUCAACAAGAAAGAGAGGGAGAGAGAGUGUGUGCGUGUGUGUGUGUGUCUGCGUUGAAUAUAGAAGAUUGAAGCAUAUUGUAGCUCAAGUUUUUAGAGAGAAAUUAUUCUUUCUUUCGUAUGCUGCUGUGCGUACCUGCUGUUGGAGGGCGAAGAUGUGGGAGACGCAGCCGUAGACGGGGUCGCGGAGGCGGGCGUGGGCCUCGUAGCAGAUGGUGACGACGGCGUCGAGGCGCUUGUGGGCCGGGAUGUGGAGGAGCAGCUUCGACACGUUGCUGGCGCCGAACACCUUGUGCACCGCCGCGAAGUGUGCCGCCCCUUGCUCCGAGUCGAAGUAGGGCGCGAAUAUGCAACCCGUCACGCACUUGCGCCGCAAGAACUUGCAGGCCCCACACGGCCCACUGCCACCUCCACUGCCGCCACCACCUCCACCGCUGCCACCGCCAAUACUGCACGUGCUGCUUCCACUCAUGGCAAUCACGGAUCGAUAUUUUCUUUCUCCUCCCCUUGUAAAUAUUAUAAAUGUCUAUAUAUGUAUAUGUAGGAUUAGAGUAUGUGGGUAUUGGCGUUUAUGUCGGCGAAGAGAGAGAGAGAGAGAGAGAGAGAGAGAGAGAGAGAAGAGAAGAGGGUUAAGGGAGAAGGGGAGGAGAGGGGGGAAGGGGAUGAGAGGGGGUAUGUAUUGUAUUUACUUUUGGGGGUGUUUGUCCUAUUGGUGGAGGGUCGUCUAGGGGUUACUGUUUGGGUUUUUUUUUUUUUUUUUCUUUUUUCCUUUUUUUUUAUUUUGGUUUCUUUGUAUUGAUGAGUCUUUAAAGCCACGCCAAGGAGCAAAGCCUACCACCUCCCCUCUCUUCUCUCUCUUUCCCCCUCUAGAAUGCUUAGCAGCUUGCGUGAAGCAAACAUGCCAUGGAAACAAACCCACAACACCCCAGUACUAUUACCCCCCCUCUCUCUCUACAUCUCUCUCUACACUCUCUCUCAUUAAAAAUUAUUGCAUACACCAUGGUCUACAGCGCGGUCACCAAAACUCAAACAUAGAAAAACCUUAUAAUCUAAGUUUAAUCGAUUAGAUAUAGUCCAUAAAUAACUUCUAAAUACUUUAUGGAUAAAAAACUGCGAUUAGUUUUUAAAACUAUAUUCUAAUUACCUAGGUACGUACGUUAAACAAAACCAUGUUAUAUAUAUAUACAUGGAUAUAAUAAAGUUUAAAUAUUAGAGACCUAACUAAGUAAGGUGUCAUAGACCACGCGCGGUGCGGUGCAUGCAAUAUAUAUGUUCUCCCUCUCAAAUUAUAAUAAAACGAGUCCCACAUACAUCUACUGUUACAGUUUCCGUCUCACACCUCCUUCGACCUCUCCCUCACGUGAAGAUGACAUGCCUUUCUCCCUUUCUACAUGUUGUGCAUUAAUUUAUGCGCAUUUUGCAUUGUGCAUACCCAGAAAUGAUUACCGGCGUUUUAAAUAGUUUAAUUAAACAUUGCAAACCAAAUGUACCAACCCAAAAUUUGACCAACUUAAUUAUCAGGUCCCGAUCGAGUAAACUGAUCAUGGGACUCAAAUAUAUAUAUAUAUAUAUAUAUAUAUAUAUAUAUAUAAUUUGCUUGCGCUCUUGAUAUAUAGUCGUACCCAAUAGCUAAUUGGAUUCAGGGCUAGUUAAUUUGGUCCUACCGCAGAUUAAAUAGUACUAUUUGAUAAAAACUGUUUGAGAAGUGUGAUUUAAAAAAGCAAUAUAUUAAGUUUUUUUUUUUUCCCCCUCAAGUUUAUCUUUGCAGUAGAAUCAGAAAGAACCAAACUGAGUCUUCCAUUUUUUCAGCUGCAAAAUUAUGUUUUUCUUUCCGUUACAGUAUAUGUCGAGACAUUUUUUAUUAGUAAAUAUACUACGUACAAAAGAAUUAAUACCGCUUUUAUUUUUAAAACAAAAACAGAAGAAGGCUCAAGAAGACCCUCAAAUCGGAUCGAUCAUACGUAAAUAUGACCUGAUAACAACGCAGAAAUUAGAAAAAACAAAAAAAAAGAAUUAGCGCGCUAAAUAUGAGAUUUUGGACUUGUAUUAAAAUCUCAUGUGGAAAUUGAGGGAUGUGAUUGUAAUAUUAAAAUAUAAGGAGGGGCAAAAGUGAAAAAUAAGCACAGAUAUAAUUUUGAGAAGGCACAUGGCAAAUGUUGCUCCAUUUCUGUUACAAAUCCACAAUGCCCCGCCACAUAGAUUGAGGAGAAUAACUGACGAGGAGCCUUAUUCUCCUCGGCCGUUUCAUUAUCUGCACUUUAUUAAUACCCCUUUCGGCUGUGAAAAGAAAAAAGGGUGGAAAAAAAAAAAAGUUUUUCUUGUGGAUAAAGCCGAUCGCAAUAUUGUUGUUGUUAUUUUAAUCGUUGCUAGUUAGGGUUGGGAGAUUCAUGUGAGUGCCGAGUCUGAAUCACUUUUUAGAGGUGAUCGAGUUAUAUAUAUUUAGGGAUUUGUUUGAUUGCAUAUUUUGUACUACAUAUAAAUUCAAAUAUGGUAUAUGCUUCGAUAUAUUUGAAUUGAACUGUUGUAAUUGGAACUGCACGAGAAGAUUCACCGCAGCAAUUCUUAACUACACCCAGAUUGACUGCAUUUUCAAUUGCAGCACUUGGAGACAAUAAUUUUAAAUAAAGAUAAACUUUCCUCCCAAAUAAUCUUUUGAGUAGAUUUUUUUUUUUUUUUUCUUUCCUACACAAGGGCUAAUUUCACCAUCUCAUAUAUAAAAUGAUAGAAAUUUAUAAAUAUACUUUCCAACCGCAUCUAACCAUUCUACUAUAUCCAACCAAAUAAAAUGUCUAUAAUUAUAACUAUUAUAUUGUCAACUACUUGCAUUUUUAUUUUUAAUUAAUUACACUAUAUUUAUAAUUAUAUCAAACCAAAUUAAACUACCCCUUAGUGAGAAUAGUACUAUGCACGGGAUUUAUUAGUGACAUAUAACGUAUAUACGCAGUGAGAAAAUUAACUAAUUAACAUCGAUUUGGAAAAGAAACAUGUAGAGUCACCUCAACUUAUUUUGGGUCUGGUCCGAUGUGGGAGCAAAUUAUUUAAUGAUAAUUUAUUUAAUAUAAUUUUUUUUUGGUGUAUCAUUAAAGAUUUGAGUUUUAUUAUUGCUCUUUAAAAAAGCCUUGACAUUCAUAAUUUGAUUGUAGAGCGUAUUUUAUUUAUGAGAUAAUUUAUUUUAUUCUGAAGAAAAUAAUUUGAAAGUCAAAUGUAAUAUUCAUUAUAGAUAUUUAAAUGCACUCCUCAUCUACCAAAAACUACACAAUUCUUAAAAACAUAUAAAAAAUAAACUGAAUAAGAUAUUCAUGCAUCAUCUAAUUAAGCUGGUUCUCCCUAUUUUUAGUUUAUUUUAAUGAAAGGAUAUUUGCAUCAACGUGAAUUGGUACUAUUAGAUUUGAUUAAGCGCAUUUAAAGUCUCCACUAUUCAAAAUUCUAUGAUUUGUUUGACAUAUUUAUCUUACAAACAAGCGGUCUCAAAAUGAAUAAAUAAAAGUAAAUAAUUUUAUAAAAAUUGAUGACACUGUAUAUUCUUGAAUUCCAUAUUAAUAGUACUAAUCUUAGUCCGUAUAGUUAAAGUUCCUUUGGCAAUUUAGCUAAUUUGAAUUAUUUAGAACUUCAAACUUACAAUAUAUCAACCAUUAAAACUAUUAAUUUUAAAAUCUUUCAAUUACUAAAUAAAUAAUAUUAAAAAAUUAUGAAAUUAAAUUUCUAUGUUGCAAAUAUGUAGAUUAUGUUUAAUCAUAUCGAUCAUCUAUUUGGAUAUCCCACAAUACAAACUAAAAUAAAUUCAAACCACCGAUACUUUCGUACUUCUGAAAGCACAUCAACUCAUAAAUAGUACUAAUCUAUACCUUAAUUGCCAUCUGAAAUUUAGUUGUCAUUAUUAGGUUAGAAUAUUUUAUUUUCUUAAUUGAGCAUUAUAUUCGUCUUACUAUCUUGAUAUAUACUCUACCAGGAAUGUGCAAAUAGGUUUCACUAUCUUAAAUUAUAUGAAUAACGAGUGAUAAGAAAAAUGGGACAAAUCAAGUGGAAUGAUUUAAAGAAAAUUAAUAGAAUAACAAAAGAUGAGAUUUGUCACGCCUAGGAUUUGGUUAGAUUUAUGGUUAAAUUUUUUUAGUUAAAUUAGGAUUGGUACUUAAAUUUGUGUGAGAUAAAUUGCAUGGGUUUUGGAUUUAAAUUAAAGUAGAAUCCUAAUGAUGAUAGAUUGCGGUACGUUGUUGAUUGAGCUUUGUAUAUAGCUCCUUGGUGUUAAUUACUGCUGAGGCCUCAGGUGAAGUAUAUGGCCAAUGCCUUGGUGGUCCUACCAUACAAAUGGAGUUUCUUUGGUACACCUAGUGCACAAUGCACGAAAAAUAGAAAAAUCUUCUCAGUUUAUAGAAGACGAGAAAGGAGUAAGAGAGAUUAAGAAAGAGGCUUUUUGGUACACCUAGUGUACGGGUGCACGGAAAAGAUAGAAAUCUUCUGGGUUUAUAGAUGACGAGAAAUGAGCGAGGGAGAUUGAGAAAGAGGGUUCAUUUAGCUUGAAACUAUGUUUAUAAAAGAAGUCGAUAGAAGAGAAGAGAGAAAUUUUUUUUUUUUUUUGAGAGAGAGAUAGGUAGCACGCUACCCGCUUCGUUUAUUUUAGUUUAGAAAUAAACUUAGCUAAAAAUAUGAAUCAACUAGGAUUCGAACUUGGGAUCUCAGAUACCAACCACAAAGCUCUUUGCCACUUGCUCUAGGGAUGGUCAAUGAGAAGAGAGAAAAUUAAGAGAACUUGGCUUCAAGCUAUGUUCUAUAAAAGAGAGUAAUAUAUAAUUCUUUUUCUUAGUGAAUUGGUUUGAAGCUACUUUCUAUAAAAGAGGAGUAAGCUCUUGGUUAGUGAAUUUUAUUUCAAAUAUAUUUUUUGUUUUUUUUUUUUCUCCUUGGUGGCUGUGUCAGCUUUUGCAAAAAUUCGAUUUGACCCUUUAGUUGCAAAAUCCCAACAAUUCAUAACAAAUGGACUAUUGGAUUUAUAACUAUCGGUAUCAAAAUAGGCUGUGAAUUCUCAAUUAAUAUCAAAGUGAGUAUCAUAUUCUUAUGUAACAGUUAGCAUGCAUGAUGUUAUAAUAAUUGAAAAUUGCUUCAAAUUUUCUUUUUUUUUUAAUCUUUUUCCCACAUUGCAUCACAAAUAAUCUGUACAAGUACACCACGAAUGUACGAACAGUUUGCAGUAGUACGCCACAAUAUUGUAAUUAUGCCUACGUUUCUUUUAAUCAACCUGAAAUAGUUAAUUUGUCCCGUGCAUACGCUUUUGUGUCCAAAUGCGAACAGCAAGCAAAAGAGUAGGGCUGGCAAAUGAGCGAGCCAGCUCGUGUUCGACUCGCGUUCGGCUCGAUAUUCGGCUCACUCGAGGUCGGCUCGAAUUAAUUUCAAGCCGAUCUUGAGCUUAAAUUUAGGCUCGAAAUUAAUUUCAAGCCAAGCUUGAGUAUUACUGGACUCGCUCGAAUUAGGCUCGAAAAACUCGAAAUAUAUAUAUAUAUAUAUAUAUAUAUAUAUAUAGAGAGAGAGAGAGAGAGAGAGAGAGAGAGAGAGAGAGAGAGCUAGUCUCCUAUACUAUCUAUAGUACCGGGACUAUCUAUAGUAUCGGGGCUCUGGUACUAUAGUGUCGUUUUCGAUCUUAGGGUAUUCAAAUCAACGAUCCACACCGUUAAAACUGAUCUAGAGUAUUUAAAGUUUUUAUAAAUAAAAUUUUAUAUUUUUUCGACAUAGUUUACUUUAUGAUCAAAUAAUUUCAAAAUUGUCAAUUUUCAAUGGCUACUAUAGCGAGUUUGGAGUUUAACGGUGUAGAAGAAUCUAAAUUUCUUCAAAUUUUGAUAGAAAAUACUUUAAACUAUCUAGAUUAAGGUUAACAUUCUUGAUCUUGAAUUUAAAAGUUCUAUGCACAAAUUUUAAAAAUUAUUCAAUUUUCACCUCCAUUUGGACAUAAUUUAUUUACUAAAUAAACGAUGUCGAAAAAAACUAAAAUUUUAUUCCUAAGAAUUUCAUAUACCCUAGAUUAUAUUUAACGGUAUGGAUUGUUAAUUUGAAUACCCUAAAAUCGAAAAUAAGACUAUAGUACCGGAGCUCCGGUACUAUAGAUAGUAUAGUAGCCUAAUUAUAUAUAUAUAUAUAUAUAUAUAUAUAUAUAUAUAUAUAUAUAUAUAUAUAUAUAUAUAUAUAUAUAUAUAUAUUAGAGCUACUAUGCUAUCGGAAAUAUAGAGGAUCUGAUGCUUCUGAUUUUUUGGCCCUUAGAUCAACCCCUUCGAUUAUUUCUAACCUUUGGAUUAAUACUAUUACUCUGUAGGAAUCACUCAAUCCUAGGGGUACUACUCAACCUUAAGGGGGACCGCAAUUAUCCAAACCGUACAAUUCUUGAUCCAAGAAUCAAAAAGUCGAAAGCAUAAAACCCUUUAUGCUUCCAAUAGUAUAGUAGCUCCCACUAUAUAUAUAUAAUUAGUCUACUAUACUAUUAACAGUACCAACCACUUGUUAUUAGGUUUUCGGCCCUUGAAUGAAGGGAUGUGCGGUUAGGAUGAUAGUGAUCCCUUAGGGUUGAGUGGGUGCUAAGUUGAAUAGUAUGAUCUAUCGGGUGGAAAUGGUCAAAGGGGUAGAUCUAACGGCACAAAAUUCGACAGCACUAAGUAUUUGGUACUAUCGAUAAUAUAGUAGCCGAACUCUAUCUCUCUAUAUAUACAUAGUCCGGCUAUUAUACUAUCUAUAGUACCAAUCAUUUUGUGCUAUCAAGUUUCCUGCCGUUAGAUCUACAUAUAUAUAUAUAUAUAUAUAUAUAUAUAUAUAUAGAGAGAGAGAGAGAGAGAGAGAGAGAGAGAGAGAGAGAGAGAGAGAGAGAGUCUGGCUACUAUACUAUCGAUAGUACUAAGUGUUUGGUGCUAUCGAGUUUUCUGCCGUUAGAUCUAUCCCUUUGGCCAUUUUCAUCCGUUAGAUCAUACUAUUCAACUAGCCACAUCCUCAACCUUAGGGGACUACUAUCAUCCUGACCACACAUCCCUUCAUCCAAAGGCCAAAAAUCUAAUAGCAAGCAAUUAGUACUAUUAAUAGUAUAGUAGCCUAAUUCUAUAUAUAUAUAUAUAUAGGUUAGGCUACUAUACUUUUAUGAGUAUAGACCCAUUUAUACAAAUAAAUUUUCGGCCGUUGGAUGUACAAUUAGGAUGAUAGUGAUCCCCUAGGAUUGAAUGGGUGGUUAGUUGAAUAGUAUGAUUUACGGAUGGAAAUGAUCAAAAAUAUAGAUCUAACGAUCGAAAACUUAUGAGUAUAAAGGGGUCUAUACUAAUAAAAGUAUAGUAGCCUAACUCUCUAUUUACAUAAUUAUAUAUAAUAUAUAUUUUAAUUAUAUAAAAUAAUAUAUGUUAUGUAUUUUAAUUAUAUGUAUAUAGAAUUUAGAUUAUUGGGCCCACAAAACCAAACAAGCAAAAUUCUACUCUAAUUGCUCUCUCUCUCUCUCUCUCUCUCUCUUUUUCACUCGCUCACAGAGUCGCUUUUCCUAAUUUUUUAAUAUUAUAAUAUCGUAUUUCAUGCAUUCAUUUUGUAUAUUGAACUAUUAGAUAUUUUUUGUAUCGAAUUUUAGAUAAUGUUUUAUAAAAAUUAAACUAUAGAUCGCACGAUGUUAAGAAUUUCAAGCGGCUCGUUUAGGACUCGAGCUCGCUCGACUUGAAGUUAGGCUUGCUCUAGCUCGGCUCGAAUUAAUUUCAAGCUGAGCUUGAGCCUAAAUUUAGGCUUGAAAUUAAUUUCAAGCCAAGCUUAAGUUGAGGUAAGCUCGCUCAAGCUCAGCUCGUUUCCACCCCUACAAAAGAGGCAUUAAUUAUGCUAUAUCUCAAGUUAAAAAAUUAACCCAAAAAAAAAGAGAUUGUACAAAUGUUCAAGAAAAUGUGAUACUAUAUGGUGUCUCCUUUUAAUAGGUUUGCUACGUUGAGAAUUCCUUCCAAGCGUGGAGCAUAAGUUGAUUAGUCUAUAAGUUUCCAUAAAAUCUAAGAUGCUCCCCUUCAUUAGCCCUAGAAAUUAGGGAUAGCUUUAUAUAUACGAUGCAUAAAUAGAAGCAGGUUUGGAUCCUUCAAGUGCUGGCAUGUAGGUGGUGUCCUUUAAUACUUCUUUUUUUUCUUAGAGAAAUGUUUCAAUACAACGGCAUAUUUAAAUCUAGUUGCUCGUAUUAAUUUUAAAGUUAAAAUUGACUUUUGCCUAGUAGUAAUCUGCUCAACAGAUACCAAUCAAGAUCAAUAGUAUAGACAAUAUUGAAAAAAAAAAUACUAGUCAAUUACCAAAUUUGAUAAUAUCAAACAAAUCUUUGUUUUCUUAUUUAAUUUUGUUACUUACCAAAUUAGAUAGUGGCUAAUGCUGUACUUAUAAACCCAACUUUUAUUAUUUAUUAUUUAAAUAAAAUACUUCUAUUUUUAAAAUUAAAUUCAAAUUGUUCAUUCGAUUGUAAAAACAACAUUAAAGUUCAAAAAUAAUGAUUAAAAUUAAAUUUUAAAUUUAGAUUUAAUUUAUAGUUAAAAAAUAAAUUUUGUUAACUAUUUAANUUAUUAUUUAUUUAAAUAAAAGGUUUCUAUUUUUUAAAUUAAAUUCAAAUUGUUUAUUCAAUAGUGAAAACAACACUAAAGUUCAAAAAUGUUGAAUAUCCUAUUUUUGUAAAUUUAGCUGUGAUUUAUAUUAUAGUGAAAAAUAAAUUUUAUUAACUAUUUAAACUUAGAGUUUCUAUGUUUGAAAAUUAACUUCAAAUUAUAAAUGCAAACUUAACUUACAAAAAUAGGAUAUUGAGAGGAUGAGAAUGGAGGGAGAUAGAAUAUUCUGGAUUUACAAAAUGAGACAUUUUGAGGAUAGAAAUUUACCAAAAAACCUUUGGUGCUAACUUCACAUAAUGAAAAACCCUCGCCAUCGGUACCCAAUGACGGAUACCUUAGGCAACAAGAGCCGGUCACCCUUUUUAAAAAAAUGCAUUGCUACCAUCAUCUUGAAAUAUUUAAGGGUUAAGAUUAGUUGGUGUAUAAGAGCAUUGUUCAUUUUCUUAAGAGGUUAUAUACUAAACAUUCUAAGUUGCUAGUGUUGAGGUUUGUGUAUAUAUAUAGAGGCCAUGCUUUUUUGUUUUUCAGUGACUCUAAAAAUCAUAUUUUAACUGAAAUAGUUUGAUGAACAUGACAUGUUACCCCUUAUUAUCCUAAUGACUUGCAGGACAGAGGUAUUCAUAGCUCGGAUAAGUUCUAUACGGUUUUAUUUUAUUUUAUUAAUAAACAAAGGCUAAGAAUGAAUCAUAUAUGACAAAUUUUGGAAUGAAGCAUAGUGUGGUAAAUAAAGAGAACAAAGAAGGCAAAAUGCACAUGCAUUUACUCCGUGCCCGAGAAGGCAGAGGACUCUAACUUUGAUCUCAUUGAGACUAGAGUUGUCAACGGGUCAGAUUCGGGGCAGAUUUUCAAAAAUCCGAACCCGACUCCAAACCUGAGACCUGAAUCUGAACCCGACGGAUUUUAAAAAUCCAUAUCCAAACCCGACCAAAAAUCCGAACCCGAAACCGAACCUGAACCCGAAAAUUUGAGUCCGAAAGAAUUAUUUUUUUUCAAUAUUUCAAAAUAUAUUAUAUUAAAUCUAAAUUUUUAAAAUACAAAUUCAAAUAUAACAUCAAAUUUUUAUAUAUAUAUUAGAGUCCGGCUACUAUACUUUUAUGAGUAUUGGCUCCCUUAUACUCAUAAGUUUUCGGCCCUUAUAUUUAUUCCAUUGAUUAUUUCACCCGUUAGAUCAUACUAUUCAACCAACUACCCACUCAACCCUAGAGGACCAUUAUUAUUCUAAGUGAGGAUCACUAUCAUCCUAACCACACAUCCCAUCAAUCAACGGUUAAAAAUUUAUGAGUACAAGAAGGUCUAUACUCAUAAAAGUAUAGUAGCCCCAGCCUAUAUAUUAUAUAUAAUACAAAAUAAAUUCGGGUUCGGGUCGGGUUUGGGUUCGGGUUCGGAUCGGGUGCAGUCAAAAUCGAUAUCUGAAUCUAUAUCCGUCGGAUUUCUAUUUUUGAUAUCCAUAUCCGAAUCCAUAUCCAUUCAGCAUCGGAUAUAUCCGUUUCAUUCAGGUUCGGAUUCGAAUAAAAUUUCGGAUAUCCAUACCCAUUGACAUCCCUAAUUGAGACAGUUUGGUGAGUUGUAUGAUUUAUUUUUUGUCUAAAUCUUAAUGCUCUUUUUCAAUUUACAAAUUUUUCAUUCGAAUUUCAAUAUAAUAUUAAAGCGUGGAUUUAACGGGGGCUAACUAGGAGCGUCAAUAGUUUGGUUCCAAACCAAAAAUCAACUGAACAAAAUCGAAUAAGAUAGUUUUGUUUGGUUUAUAUGAUUUUCGCUUUGGGUCUGUUUUGAAAAUAACUAAUUUUUUUUUUUCGAUUUUGGUUCUGUUUUAACACUUCUCAAAAUCAAAAGCAAAGUUAAAACCGAAUAGUAAUAUUUCUAUCACUUUUUAUUUAAACCUUAUAUCUGAAAUUAUAUAUUUAUAAUCAAAUCUUUGAUCGUAUAUCAACACACUUUUUAAAAUUCUAUGAGUCAAUUUUUUUAUGUACAACUUUUAAUUCAAUUUUAAUUCUUAAAUAAUAAAUUAAUUUAUAAAUAAAUAGAAGUUUUAAAAGUUACUUGUGAAAUUGAACUACACUGAAUUAAAUCGGUUUAUUUUGGGUCGGUUCUUUUAAUAAAUCAUUUUGGUUCGGUUCAGAAUUUUUUGAAACUAAAAAAUACGGGUUCAGUUUGAGAACCUCUUAAAAUCGAACCAAAGCGAACCGUAUGCAUCCGUACAAGAAAAGGUGAGCGUCUUUUUACCCUUUUUCUUUUUCUUUUUUUUUUUUUUUUAACAUCAGAAUUCUGAAGGGAGCGACCCUAAUAGCAGAAGAAAUUUGUCCUGAACCUCGUCUACAUAUCAUCUGUGGACCAGACGACGAGCCACUUCAUCUCUCCCUAUUGCAUCUCAAUUUCGAAUCCAAUCCAUACAAUAACUAUUAAAAUAAACCUAUUUAUAAAUCAAGUAAAGACGCAGCUUUUGGGAUGGACUAGAUUUACAAUUAAGCAAUAAUAAGAAUAAAGAAAUAACUGUAUAUGGCUCUUUAAAAAAUAUCAAAUAACAAAUAUAUACCUAUAAAUUUAAGUUUUCUGGUUUAUCCCUCCAAAAAUUCUUCCGUCUACAAAUUUAUCUUUCUAUUACCAAAAUUUAGAUAAUAAUAAGUUAAAAAAGCUAACCACAAUUAAUUAAGGAGUAAAUGUGAUCUUUUUUACUCUUUAUAUAUAUAAUUUUGUUCUAAUUAAUGUUGAGUCUCAUCGUCUUAAUUUCUCACUCUUUUCUCUUUAUUCAUGGCAACGACGAGACCUACAAUGACGGUGGCGUCGAAAGCGAGGCCCUCGGUCGUGGUUUCAAAAAUACGGUACGACACAGGUGCCACGAUGAGAGAGAGAGAGAGAGAGAGAGAGAGAGAGAGAGAAAGGUUUUUGCACGAAGAAAUUCCAAAGGCAAAAUAAUUAUUUUAUACACCCACUGCUAAAAAAAUUAAUGAUGAAUCAAACGGCAAAAAAAUAUAUGAAUGAAUUAGUACUUUUGAAAGGAUAUAUUUACAAACUAGAGAAUAUUUGAAAAAAUAAAUAUAAUAACUUAAGUUUUGUAGGGAUAUAUUUGCUAUUUGAUUUUUUUUAGGGACUUGUAUGAAAUUAAUGCAUGAAUAAGUUUAGGAUAAUGUUGCUAGACUUAUCUAGAUAAUAACGC
rnacentral:lncRNA from 1 species